UGUUGUAAAGGAGGUGGAGUGAUCAAGAGCAUUGAGAUCAAAGAGCCCAUAAAGCCCAAAGAGCCCGAAAAGCCCAAAGUAGUCGAAAAACCGAAGGAGCCCGAAAAGCCCAAAGUGGUUGAAAAACCGAAGGAGCCCGAAAAGCCUAAAGAGCCUGAGAAGCCGAAAGUGGUUGUGGUGGAGAAGCCAAAAGAACCUGAGAAACCUAAAGUGGUUGUGGUCGAGAAGCCUAAAGAACCAGAGAAGCCCAAAGUGGUAGAGAAGCCCAAAGAGCCCGAAAAACCCAAACAACCCGAGAAGCCCAAGGAGCCUCCAAAGCCUAAAGAACCAGAAAAGCCGAAGGAGGUUCAGAAGCCCAAAGAACCUGAAAAGCCUAAAGAGUCCGAGAAGCCCAAAGAAGCACCUAAACCAACACCGGUAGCUCCACCUCCACAACAACCACAACCGCAACCACAACCACAGUUUCCGCCAGCUCCGGAGCCAGUGAUCGUGAUGCCAAUUCAAGGAUAUCCACACCAACCCCCUCCAGGAUACUGCUGCGACCAAUGUUACGGAGGCUAUACCGGGGGCCCGUGUUACCACGAUUGGUAUGGAAGACCAGUCCAACCACCUCCACCGGCCCCAUGCUACGAUACAUAUUCGUAUGGAUAUGGGCCCGGGCCAGGCCCGGUACCUUAUGGACUCCCAAAGGGUUGUUAUGUGAACAAAUGUGAUUACUUUAGUGAAGAAAAUGCAUCUGGAUGCUCAAUUAUGUGACCAUGUUGGCCCAUUACUAGGGCCCAUAGGCCCAAUUACCUUUCAAUUGGGCCUCCUCACCAAAAGUCCAAAACAAAAUUUGGAUUUAUCUAGCUAUCUUUUUUGUAUUUCAUUGUUGUAUAUAGAAAAAAGUUGAUAUGAGGGAAUAAUUUGGUGACCAAAUUAUUGGUUAACUGUCUUGUGACAUAAUGCCUUUAAAUGAUUAGUAAUAAAACACUUUCUUAAUCAUUUUUUCUUUUUCAUAAUAUCAUUUUCUUGAUGUUGUUGAUAUUAAUUUGGUGCUAAAAAUGUAGUUGUUGAUUUCAUCAAUUUUUUUCUUUUAUUCAAAAAAUUGACUGACGAAAAAAAAAAUGUAGUAUUUGAUGGUUUUUUAAAUAUGGUUAAGAUUAAUUGUAUCAUUAUUCGCUUUUAAGUGACACUAGUAUAUCUUAAUAAUUGAAGUUUUCAUCAUUACACCUUUUUCGAUGUAACGUAGAACACUUCAUGUAUCGAAUUAUUAUUAUAUUUAAUAAUUGAAACUUUUUAAUCAUUUCAACUUUUUGUUUGAUUCAUAUCCCCAUUUCUUUUCAAUUGUAAAUCAAGAUUUCAACAUAAAUGCCCCACAAAUGGACAUUUAGAAGACGACAUUCUUCAAAUAUUUACAUUAUUAACUAUUUUGAUAAGGUGAGGUUGAUUAAAUGUCAAGAAGGGCAAUGAAAAGGCUUUAAUAUAAAGUUAACUAUAUUGGCUUCCACCUUGCAAAACAUAGCAUGGUAGUCCAAUUAACUUUUUAUAUAUGGACAAAAUGAUGAACAUUGGAAAAUGGACAAUUGAUUAAUUAAAAGUAUGUAGGGAACUUCUUAUCCAACUUCAAUUUUUGACUUCGGAGAAGAACUCGACCACAAGACACUAUUGUCCGCAGCCUCAUCUUGCAUUUUUGCAAAGGGUUGUUCACGGCUUAAACCCGUGACCUCCUGAUCACAUGACAACAACUUUACCAGUUUGUAGCAAUCAAUGGAUCUACACAUUUGAAUCAUAUGAUAUACACAUGCCAUAACAAGCAUUUACAAGGAAACAAUGGAUAUACACAUUUGAAUCAUAUGAUAUACACAUGCCAUAGCAAUUCCAUUCUCCCUGACCUACCUAGGAAUGGUUGUAAAGAUACGAUACCUGGACUUAACUUAAUCUCAAAAGCUAGUUUAUAAGAGUAGGAUUGCCCAAGUCGAUAUUAGCAAACCACCGGUUCAUUCUCAAACCAAUGUGAGACUCUUACCCACUCUAACAAAGGUCAACUGUGUCAUAUCAUGCCCUGGUAAUUGCAUUGGUUGCUUACCGGUAAGCAUCUCAAGUAGUAAGACACCGAAGCUGUUGACAUCAACUCCUUCACCUCACUAAUACAUUGAGAUCAUCGGUACAUUGCAGAUAUGAAAGCUGAAUCAACGAUGCUCACCAACUCUAGCCGCGAACCUUGUCCUCACCACCAGGGGCGGAUUCAGGAUUUUCAGUGAGGGGGUUCAGUAGUAUUUUAAAUAUGAAUUUUUCUUCUCUAAGAUAGCGCGAGGACUAAACAACAUCUUGCAUGCUCACCACAUGCUGCAUGAUGUAGCAUGUCCAAACAGACUUAAGUAACUCUGAAGUGGUGCAUAUUAGGAUGUCACAUAGAGGUUUUGUAUAGUAUAGUUGUUCUUUGUUUUUCUGCUUGCUUCCUCACACUAUUGUAGUCCAAGUUGCAAUGACACUCCAAAACUGUUGCCGCAUCCGUGCCGGAUCCUCCAAAAAAGCACUACUUUUGAAGAAUCCAAUAUACAGCCGAUGACAUUUUUGAAAAGUUCGAGCAACAUAGAUAGAUUGUAGUACUUUAUUAGUUGUGUGCAUAAAUUAUUAGGUCUAUACAACUUCGAGAAUUUUGUUUUCCUUUCAUUCCUUUGUAGUUCGAUGUCAUUAGUUUUAGUGCUUGUAAAUAUGUUAUCCCGAUCAAAUGUAGUGUUUACUUUUCCUACUCGAUAUACAUAGAUUGAUUUUAUACGGGUUACACACAUUAAUUAUAUAUCUACUGGUUAUUUUUAAUUUAAACGAUUUGAUAGAUGAGUAAGAUGAUCGCCAAGUCCUCCCCUCGUAUAUUUACCACUUAAUUAUGAUUAAAUAAUAUCUCUCUCUCUAUAGUCGUAAUUUAAUUUAAAUGCUAAAGUUAAAUCAUGUACAGUAUUUAAUUCGAACAGCAAAAUCAAUUAUUUUGAUUAUGUAUUAUUUUUCUGAAAAUAGAUACUGGAAUAUAUCUUUUCCAGUGACUUCUAUACUCCUCCAGACUAAUUUAGAAAAAUAUUUAAUUGAAAGGAUAACAUGUCAAAUCAAACAUAAUUCAACUAAAAGAACUCACUAUAUUAUUAUUAUUUUGACCAGGGUCCAAGUUACAGGACCUUGAAAAUUAGUAACAUAAUAUGAAGGGACUAAAAAGUGUUAUGAGAUGUUCUUGAGCUUCAGGUCUAUUUUUUUUUUUAAAAUUAUUACGAUGAUGUUUGAAUCACCUUAUGCAUAUUUUAAUUUUAUAUUUCAUCGGAUAAUUAUUAUAUCCAUCAACAUAAAUAUUGUGUAAUUUUACGUACAAAGAUUUAGACAUAUCAGAGAAAAUCACUAUCCUUUUCUAUUUUUUUUUUAAAUAUUAUAUCGACGAUGUUUGAAUCAGCUUAUGCAUAUUCCAACUACAUAUUUCAUCGGAUAAUUAUUAUCUUCAUCAACAUAAAUAUUACGUAAUUUUACUUACAAUGAUUUAGAUAUAAGAGAGAAAAUCGCUAUCAUUUCAUUGCUUUUAAGAUUUGAACCCUGAUCUCAAUGAUUUUCACGAAUGAGAAACUUGUUGUGAUUUUCUAGUCUAUAAUGAAAUCUAAACCCUAAUCUCCCAUCAAUUAAAUUGGUGAGAAAAAAUCACUACUAUUCAUGUCUCUGAUGAAAUUCAAACCUUAAUCUCUAGUGAUUUUUCAUAUUUCUACAUAUUAAUUACAAUAGGCUACACCUUUUAUGGCAUAUUUUCAGUCCUAAUUUCUUCUUUCAUUUUUCUUAUGAAUUCUUCAAUCUUUUUAUUGAGUUCUUCUGUGCUCAUAUUAUCUUCAUUUUCUUCUUCUUCUACCAUGCUUUUGAUGCCUGCUUUAGCAACUUGCUGGAGGUCAUAACAUAAAUCGCUUUCUUGAACUUGCAUGCCUUCUGCCGUUUUUUCUGAUAAUAAACAUGUUGUUUCUUCUACCACGGUCUUGGUGCUUGCUUUAAUUUGCUGGAGAUCGUAAUAUAAAUCGCUUUCUUGAACUUGUAUGCCUUCUACCGUUUUGUCUGAUAGCAAACAUGUUGUUUCUUUCACCACGCUCUUGGUGCCUGCUUUAGCCAGCUGUUGGACGUUAAAACAUAAAUCGCUUUCUUGAUCUUGAAUAUCUUCCACCGUUUUGUCUGAUAAUAAACAUGUUUCUUCUACCACGCUCUUGGUGUCUGUUUUAGCAACUUGUUGCAUGUCAUAACAUAAAUCGCUUUCUUGAGCUUGCAUACCUUUUACCGUUUUGUCUAAUAAUAAACAUGUUGUAUCUUCUACCUCUUCUUCGUUCACUUCUACUUGUUCAUCAUAAAAUCCACUUUUAAUUAGCACAUCUUCUUGUUUAUCAUAGCUACAACAACUCAAAUUCUUGGCAAGAAAUACAAGUAUACUAUUACAUAUUAAAAACAUGUAUUUCCUAUCAAAGACAUAUGUAAAGUAUGGGAAAACAAGAGUUGACGAGUGAAGAUUAAAGGUGAAAAUGAAUGAGAAAUCAUAUGUGUAAGAAAGAAGCAAAGAUAUGAGAGAUAUUGGAAGUAGAAAUUGCAAAGUUUUUAUCAAUUUAUUGUGUAUAUUAUAUGGUCUUUUAGCAAUUUCAAUCAUUUGGUUUGAAUGUUGAUGAAGAUAUGUAUGUAUAUGUAUUGUAUUUUGGAACUUGACUUGAUGAAUUAUGUAUAUAUUCUAUGGUCUUUAUAUAGAGAGAUUUUGACACUACUCUCAACAGUCUAACAAGUUCACAAUAAAAAUAAAGGGAAAAUAGUCAGCCAUAUACCUAAAUUUUGGUGAAAUUUAUUGUAACACGCCUCAACUUUGCGGGGUCCUAUGACACCUCUCGACUAUUUAUUACCGUAUUUUUGUGAUAUAUAUUUGUCCAACUGGACCACUUCAAACCCUUACACGCUAGUGCGCGUGUUUCACGCAGUGGUCCAGCUGGGCAAAUAUAUGCCACAAAAAUACGAUAAUAAAUAGUCAAUGGAGUCAUAGGAUCCUUGUAAAGUUCAAGCGUGUUACAAUAAAUUUCAUCAAAAUUUAAGUACAUUUUCAACCUUUUUCCCUAAAAAUAAUUGUAACUUCUAUUCUUUUUUAUUAUUUUGAUCAAUAUGAAAUGUGUUUAUGCAUAUAUACUGAUUGUCCACCAAAGGACAUUAUUGCACUCAUUGCACUCAGUAACGUGACUUAGUGAUCAAUAAAGUGAAUUUAAUAUUUUACUUGAAAUGCAUAUUUAUCGAAAAUAUACUCUACCUUCACAAGAUAGAAAUAAGAUAUUCGUAUACACCAUCUUCUCCGGACCUUAUUUAUGGAUGGAAAAAUGAUAUAAACAUACGCCUUAACUUACCAUAUUUACGCAAACCCCCAUCAUUACUAUUGUUGUUGUUAUCAUUGUUAGUACAAUAUAAUAGCCAUAAAUGCUUAAUGCUUCUUGUUAUAAAUAAAUUCUCACUAGUACUAGAGAUUUCUCUAAAUAAAAUAUUGGAAUAUUAUUGAGGGAUACUUUGGUUCAUAAAAAACUUUGGGGGAAAGUGGUGCAUGUAGGAAGUCUCUGGUGUUUUUGCUGAAUAAAGAACCAAAAAGAGAACAAAAAAGUUGGAUUCUCACCUAAAUCCACCAUGACUUCAUGUAUAUUGUGCUUUAGGUGAUGUUUGUUACGACACACUCCAAUUUUACGAGGGUCAUAUUAUUUUCUGAACUAAAUUUUAACAUAUUUUUGUCCUCCUUUUUAGUUGACAUGACGUGACACCUUUUAUCAAAUUUUUUAGCUGACGUAACACCUUUGACGUGGACUUUGUUUUAUGUAAUAAAUGUGUCAUGUCAGCACAGAAGAGUGACAAAAAUACAUUAAAAUUGAGUUCAGAAUGGUAAUAGGACCCUUGUGAAGUUAGAAUGCAUCAUAGCAACUUUGGUCAUAUUUCAGGGGUGUACUGGAUGCUUAUCCUUAAAUUUGAUGAUCUUUAAAUUUUCCUUCUGUUGCUUAUUUGGAAGUGGAGUAUUGAAAUAACUGAUAAAGUUAUUGUUAUGUGACAAGAAGGUCACGAGUUCAAGUCUUCAAGUCGUGGAAGCAGUCUUUUGCAGAAAUGUGGGGUAUAGAAAUGUGGGGUAAGGUUACAUACGAUAAACCCUUGUGAUUCGUCUCUCCUCCUAACCCUGUGCAUAGCGAGAGAUUUAGUACACCAAAUUAUCAUUCUAUCACUUAUUUAAUAAAAAAUUUAUUGAUCAAAGUAUCCCUUUCUGGAUUUAAUUUGUCCUUAAUUUUAGCAUUCUGCCAUUUUUCCCCCUCAAUCCAUCUGCCAAUUCUGUCAUUUUGAGAAUUCAAAUAAUAAUUUGUUUUUAAUCUUUUAUAACAAAGAAAUUUGAAAAUACUUGUAAACAGCAGAUUUUGAUAAAUCUUUUGAGGCCAAGGAAAAGAGAAAUCACUAAGAGGCCACAAUGUAUAAAUUUUGAUAAAGUUGUUGUGAUGUAACCGGAAGGUCACUAGGUUUGAGCUAUGGAAAAAAAAAAAAACGCCCAGUGCACUAAAGCUCCUACGGAAGAGCCUCACCACAAGAGUGUAUUGUAAUGCAGCCUUACCUUGCAUUUCUGCCGCUGCUUCCAAAGCUUGAACCCGUGACUUUCUGGUCACAUGACAUCAACUUUACCAGUUUCUCCAAGGCUCCCCUUCGAGCUAUGGAAACAACCUCUUGCCAAAACGAAGGGUGCAACGGCACACAAUCAACCCUUAUGGCCCAACCAUUCACCGAUCUCCCACGCAUGAUAGAAGCUUAGUGGACCGGGUUGCUCCACUAGAAAUGAAAAAAAAAAAAAAAAAGAGCAACCCGAUGCACUAAAGCUUCCGCUAUGCGCAGGGUCUGGAGAAGGACCCCACCACAAAGAUGUAUUGUACGCAACCUUACCUUACAUUUCUGCAGAGGCUUUUUUCAAAGCUUGAAACCGUGACCUCCUGAUCACGUGACAUCAACUUUACCGGUUCAAGGCUCACUAGAAAUGAAAAGAAAUACCCAUAAAAUUGCCAGAGAAUGACUAAAAAAACUGGGAGAUGUCAUUUAAACCUAAUAAAUAAUGUCUGGACAAUUUUUUUACAAGGGUGAAACUCCUUUCUUCAAAAGCAUAUCAUAAACUCUAUCUACUUUAGUUGCUUCUAUUUGGAACAAGGGAUAAGCAUCUGAUUUUCUAGUGAUAUUGCCACUAUAAAUUUGUAUUGUAAGAACCUCUUGCAUCCGAAGAUAAUGAUGCGGCGAUAGCCUGAUUUCUCGGCAUAGUUGUUUCUCCUGCACGAAGAAAAAGAAUCACACGUGAAUCGCUAGAAACAUUUCAAGUGUACGACUAACACGACCAAAACCAGAAUAACGAAGAAUAAGACGUUGUGAUGUAAGUCUGUUAUCCCUGCGUUUCAUGCAUCGGGCGUAAAACUAGGAAAAAGAACAAAGUGGUUAACAAGUCGUAAUGGUGUAUUAUCACAACAACUAUACUUGAAACAUGUGAAGUUUAUGGUAGCUCGAACGAAGAAAAAGACAUUGUGAUGUAAGUCUGUUGUUCUUUGCAUUCAUGCAUCAUGCGUAAAACUAGUAAAAGAAAACGUGGUUACCAAAUCAUAUUGGUCUAUUAUCACAAUUCGACUUGAAACAUCUCAAGUGUAUGGCUAACUCAACAAUGAAACUUUUGAAAACCAAAAUCAGAAUAACGAAGCAAAAGACAUCGUCAAAGUCUACUAUUCCUUGCAUUCGUGCAUCAGGUGUAUAACUAGGGAAACGAACAAAGUGGUUACCGAGUUGUAUCAGUCUAUAAUCACGACUCAACUAGUAUGUGGGUGUGUGGAGCAAUGGGGUUGUAAGGCUUUACUUUUUCCUGAAAUUCAUGUGUACGUUUCAAUAUGUCGUGUGUGCGCAAAUGGCAUGGGAAAAAACAAGUUAUAGUUACCUAAGAAUUCCUUUCAAAAUCAGUAAUAUGAAAACUUACAGGUUCAGAUAACAGUUCUCCUGCAGAAAGAGCUGCAACGCCCGAAUCGUUGAUGGAACUCAAAUUCGCCUGGCUACAAGGUUUUCUAUUUGAAUGUGUUCCGAGUGAGUCAGAAGAAGCAGGCAUGUUCAGGCUCUCCUGGCUCAUUGGGCCAAUCUGAGAACUUUCUUUUCUCGGAACACCAUCUUCAAGUUCUCUCUUCCUUUUCCUUUCUAAGUAUCUAUCAACUUCAAUAGAUGAAUGACAACCAGCAGCUCUCGAUUCCUGCAUAAUUUUGAUCUUACAUAACUAGUAACAGGAUAGAAAGUGAUUCUUUUUGUUCUUAUAACCGUUGUGUCUGGGUCAGCCUGAGCCUAGGGUCAUCGGAAACAGUGUCCCUACCUUGCUUACACACUGCUCGCCAGACCCUACUUGUGAAAUUAAACUAGGUUUGUUGUUGUUGUGGUGGUGUCUGGGCCAACUUGUGUGCACCUCGACUAAUUUCACGGGCACCAGCUACCUCCCACCAACCUAGAUACUGGGUAACUCUGCCCACCAAAGCUUGGACAGACUGGAAGAAAUCACCUAGUGUUUUUGUCUCCGCUGGGUGACCUCAUGGAUCCAACCCACUUCAUUGACCACUAGGUCAUAUCCUCGGGUGCCGGGAUAGAACGUGAUUCUUUAUUAUGUUUGACAAUGCAGUCAUAGACUUGUCAAUGACAUACCGAGCUUGUAUAUACACCAACAUUUAGUUUCAUAAGAAAAGGUACAAUAAUAAGGCGCAGAGCUGAGUUCCAACCUUGAGUUCUUGUAUUCUUUUCAGAUAUCUAUGUUCUGAGACCACAGUCUUCAUUAAUUCUUCAUGCUCCUCCUUCGAGAGGAAGCGCAUAAUGGCAUCAUAACGUCGGCAUAGAUCUUUCUCUUCUGGUGACAAAUUCUUCUCAAAUUCACUUGGCUGGAGUAAAUUCCUCUCUAGAAUAAAAUCCUUGCGGCGCUUUCUUUCAUCAAGCCUGCCAUUAUUCGUAGACUUGACUCUGAAGGAAUACACCAACUGAAGAAAUCAUGAAACAUGUGACGGAGGAAAGGAAGAGUACCUCUUGGAAUAGAUACGCAGAACACGCAACUUAAGUUCGCGCUCCUGUUCAGUUUCAGUUUCCUUGAAUUCCAUAUCAGCCAAUAGUUGCUCCGCAUCAUUAUCAUAUUCAGGAUCAAAUUCUUCCCUUUUGGGGAUAUAUCCACUUAGUUUCAUCAAUGAGGAUCCAUCCUCUUUCAACGAUUUUGGUUUCUUGCCUCCAAAAUUUCUGCCUGAAUUAUCGACCAAUAAUAAAUUUACUUUAACUGAACAAUUCCUUCACAAAUAUUUUCCCUGAUGAAUGAUAAGUUGCCGGCCCUACCUUCCAAUUUUACAGGUUCAUUUUGAAUUUUGAUUUGCGACUUGCUGGAUGGUUUUUUAAUGCCUGUGAUUCCUGAAGCAUUCAUGCUGUUAAUGACUCAAAAAGUAGAUAUCGUUAAAGAGGAAAAGUAAAUACUGCAUCCAGACAGGACCAGAAACCGGUCUUACCCGCAUUGGAUACAGCAGAUAAACGUCCUGAAGGACCCUUUCUAUGAGAGUCUUCAACUCUAACGGCAAGCAUGCAAGAAGAAAGUAAGUACUAGAUGAUUAAAAAAGAUAAAGAGACGAAAAACCACGUACACAGAAUAUAGAAUGUGAUAUUCAUACUUGACUUGAGACGGAGAAAAUGAUUCAUCUUUCGGAACAACUUCACCAAGUGAGGAUACUCCUGCAAUUGCCAUAAACAUCUAACGUAAAAAAAUGUGGUAAAAAUUCGUCGUAAUCAGAAUAAAAUUCUUACUCCUACUACCAUGUGAAUCCAUAGUUUUCUCCCGUGUUAAUAGUUUUGAGGUCGUGGCUAAAGUUUGAUUAGUGUUCCAAAAAUGGCUAUUUGCCAAUUUCUCCAUCAAAAUUUGCAAUGCUAAGCCCAGCAGAUCGAACACAAUUCGGCCUUUCAAAUAAACCCAUACCAUUGGGUCAAAUACACAUUACCCAAUCACAAUUUUUGCGGUAAAGUAUUCAUCCAGAAGAUACAUCAGAUUAGAAAAUCCAUACAGUUACUCAUAUGCGAAAUCCAGAAGACGCAAUGAAUUACAAGAUUUUCUAUCACACUAUAUAUAUCUAUGGGAACUUUUCCCUAUUAUUUUCUAUGUCCUCUUUACUCCUGUAUUUUUCUUUCAACAGCUCUGAUGUACGUUACUCGAGCCGAGGGUCUCAGAAACAGCCUCUCUACCUCCACGAGGUAGUCGUAAGGUCUGUGUACACUCUACCUUCCUCAGACCUGCUUAUGGGAUUACACAGGAUUGUUAUUGUUAUCGUUGAGCCACUAUAUCUAUGGAAAUUUUUCUCGUCUUUAAUUGAAGUAACAAAAGUAAACACCAAAACAACCAAUAAAAAUAAAGAAAUAAAUUCAUGUAGAUUUAGCUUUAAGUGAACGGAGGUCUUGAAUUGGAGAGUAUUGAGUUUUGGAGUUUCUUAUAUUUAUAACGACCAUUAAUAUCAGUUCAACGUCAAAGAAAGAACAAAACAAUAGUUACGCAUCAUGUGGGAAAAGACCCACUUCCCUUGCUGCGAUUCUUAUCUCACUAGUUGACUAUCUUUAUCUUGACCAUAUCUUAUCAUAGUCUUACAACAUUUUCUGUAAAUUUAUUUGUAUAGAUUACCGACACAACUACUAAAAUCACCAACCUUUAAUAUGCUAGUAGUAUUAGUUGUCAAAUUUUAUUAACAAUACUUCCUAAAUGUACUAAAACUCUAUAGUUAGCAUUUUUCAUUUUGAUUUUGCCCUUGUACAUAAGACAAAUGCACAUAGAUAAUUUUAAGUGUUACUAUUCUCGCUCUUCUUCCGUUUUAGAUAUGGAAAUCAAAUUUUAGCAAUUUAGGUUCGAUACAUACAUAUACGGAUCCUGAAGAGUUUCUUUCUAUAAAUGUAUUUUGCCUUUAGUUUAUUCCAUACUUUCUCAAGAAUGAAAACAAAAGGCGAGCUUAUCCUUAUCCAAAAGAAAAAGCAGCUCAUCUAUCUUGAAACAUGAAACGCAUAACAUACAUAAACAAACACUCAAACUUAGCCUCAGCUGGUAAGUCAACAUUCCAACUUUGAGUGAACACAUCUAUACUCCUCAACUCGUCUCGAUUGUGUCAGUUGAACACUCCAACUUACAAAAUGAUCAUUUAGACACCUCCAAAAUUUAUGUGUCAUAUCCGCGUCAUGUGUCCACGAGCCACAGUAGGGAUGAGUUGGAGUGUUUAGUUGUCAAUUGAAACCAGGUUGAGGUGUCUAGAUGUGCACUCUCAAAAUUGGAGUGCUUACUUGACAACUGCGGCCAAGUUUGAGUGUCUUUUGUGUAUUUAUGCCUACAUGACAAUAGAGAUUUAUCACAUCCAUGCAGAGAUUCUAAAAGUUUUCCCGCAUCUCCUAUUUGUUAGUGAACUUAGCUUUCACGGAAGGGAAUUUCUGAACAGUAUAAGAAGUAACAAGUGACACUUUGAGAUAUAUAAUAAACAAGAUACAAUCGUCAAGAGACUUCCAAAAGUUUAUAUUACUUCCUAUUUAUUUAGCUUUUAGUUAAUAGAUAUUUGUAUUAAUACAGUAAAAAGAUAUACACAAAACACUUCUACUCGUAGGACAGAUAGAAUCAUUUCACAGAUGCUGUUAGUCAUUUAAUGAGAUAUGUAACUGCAGACAAUUUGAUCUCGAGGGCAUGACUUAAGUUGCGGCAAGCAUCAUUUUGUUAUUCUAACGGUAGAAGAUCGGGCUCUCGAGAUGAAUAGCUAAGGAAAGUACCGAGAGAAUUCAGAUUUGAGAACGACGUUCCUAACCUUUCUUAUCUGUGAAAUUCCCUUUGGCCAUGGCAAGGAGUUCCUUUCUAUUUUUCCCCAUGACGUGAGUCAUAUCCUGGAAACGGAAAAGGAAAAAUGUGGGUGAAAUGGUGAGUCAUAAAGGAUUAAACUUGCAUCUGAUAAAUUUCUUACCGGUAGAGGAAAGUAAGGUGAGUCUAAGUAUUCGUCCUUAAAAUGGUCGACACACGCUUCUUUUGACUUUGUUCCGACAUGUUCACCUACUUCUGCCCAAUUACCCAUGCCAUACAUUUCAAUUCCCUAGGCAAGGCAAAUUCAAGGAACCAAGACAACACGAAAAGGGUUAUUGAUGUUAUGAAUACCUUCCACGAAAAGUGAAAAGUCAAAUUCAGUAAUAAAUAAGACGUGAGGUGAUCCAAAAAAGAAGGUAUCCUUAAAAUAACACCUCAAGAAGCAACAUCUCUUCAUCCGCAUUCCAGUCCGGGCAGAUAAGUGGGAAAGCUAAGAUGUCCUGUUCAACGACAUUAAUAAGGUCAUUAGAACAAUGCACCAAAAAUGAAGGUUAGCUCACAAACACGUGCAGGGAAGCAUUGAAAAACACGAAAUAAGCUUCUAAAAAUAAUAUUAAGGGCAGGCCGGUGCAUUAAACUCCCGCAAUAGCAAGGUUCGGGAAAGGGCCGGACCACAAGAGGUCUAUUGUACGUAGCCUUACACUGCAUUUCUGCAAGAGACUAUUUCCACAGCACGAACCCAUGACCUUCAGGUCAUAUGGCAGCAACUUUACCAGGCUUCCCUCCAAAAAAUCGUAUGUUUAUAAAAACAUCAAGUCCAUGCUGUAGUGCACUUGUUUUCUUUUGGCAAGUGAGCUUUUUUCAUAUGGAUUACUAUUGAUAUUAAAUACAAAGAAAGCUUGAAGCAAUCUGUUAGUGACGAGGUUUUCGUUGAAAGUUAUUCAUAUUUUACAGAAGAAAGAACUAACCAUAAUACCAUCUUUAUCAAUCAAAAAAGAAAGAAAGAAAGAACGAACCAUAACCCUAUAGUGGUGAUAGCUUUUGUGAGGAUGCACCUCAGCACCGACAGAGAAGCACUCUAUACAUAGGUCAAAAUCAGAACAUACAGCACAUUUUAUACGAGUUCUCCCGCUAAGGUCUUUGUUGCAAUAAUUGCAGUGAUACAAGGCCUUUUUGCCAUCAGUUGUCCCUUGAUCUGAGUAAUCAACAUUCAACAGCAUUAUGUCAACAUAGACUGGUUGCAAAUUUGAAAGACUCUAAAAGUAAGUCAUGCAAAUGAUAUACAAAUUUGCAGCAGAUUUUGAGACUGAAAUUGCAAAGAGUUUGGGUUUUUGAAAAGAAUAAGAAAUUAUUGGGUUAAAACUUAAAAGAAGUCUUAAAAGAACUAGUAAUAAUAAUAAGAAAGACUAUUAGAUCCUCAGGCAUCAGACCACAAGGUUAGAAUUGCAUCACACAAUACCAAAGGCCAAAAUUACUUGGGGAAAUAGGUUUGACAAAAAGGGGAAGAAUGGAGUUAAAGAUAGUAAUGCAGUACUCUCCCGUUUCAAUUUGUUUGUCUAGUUUUGACUUGGCAUGGUGUUUGAGAAAGUAAAGAAAACUUUUGAAUCUUGUGUUCUUAAACUAAUAAUAUGCAAAAUGUACCAAAAUGUCCUUUAAUCUUGUGGUCUUAAACACGUUACGUGGAAAAAUGAAAUUAAAGUGUCGCCAAGAAAGAAAAGUAAGUCGAACAAAUCGAAUCGGAGAGAGUAUAAUCAGGGUCAAGAUACGACAUUUUACUUAUUAUUUCCUUUCAUUUCGUUCAACCAAUCAACCCUAUAAAAAAGUCAAAUAGCUAAUGUCUAUGCACUGAAAGCAUUAUAAUGAUACUGAGACCUAAUCCUUCAAUUCCCUAAGAGAAAAUCUUCCUUUGUUUUAGACACGAACUUACACUUACCCACGCCCCCAACCCCUCCGCCCUAAACUAGGCGAACAACUUCAAAUUACUAAAAAUCUAUCCAGACUCCACAUUAACCUAUAAACUGUUUCCUUACCACAAAAGAAGUAAAAAUAAAAAGAUUAGACAAGUGUUUCUUACAAAAACAUUCUACCUUCAAAGUAACUUAUGCCAACUACAAUACAGAUACUAUAUUAAGGAAUCAACUAAGUAUGCAAGCUCUAAGACAGCUACAUCAUUAUUCAAAUAUCCUCAAAUUAUGUUUGGAACCUGAACUCACUGUUGCCAUGCUUUAUCUAAUAAUUUAAAGGUUGUCGGCUUGUUGCCAUAUUUUUAUACCGAAAAAAGUCGGGUCUGUAAAAGAGAUUCAUGCUUGCAAAAGAAACAGCGCUGACAUAUAGUUUCCAUAGAUAAUUGAGCUGUCAUGAUAUCAUUGUGAAGCUACAUGUCCGGAAGAACCUGCACUGUAGGAAUUUUAUCCUUCUCAGGAGAACGAACAUAGAUUGUCAGUUCAAAAAUGAACCGCAAUAGGAUGUGAGGAGCCUGUUUACACUUUACUCAUCGUCAAGUUCAUCUACCAAUAAAACUGACUAAGUUUAUGGAAGCAAAACCUUUGCCGGAUCACAAAAUUCAAAAACCUGUAAUGAAUUGAAUGGAUAGAAAAGAAGAUAAUCAACUCUAAUAAACCGUUAUCCACAAGAAUCCGCGUCCAAUUGGACUUUACUAAGAAUGAACAGUCAUCAACAGUAGUAAGAAUUGAACUGAAGUUCAACAGUUAAAACCUAUUAGACGAAACUUACCAGGAAUCACAGAUUCUAAAUUGUCUCCACUUGAGGCAUUCUUUUUCCUCCUUGAUCUAAAUUAAAGAAAACGGGUAAUGAAACAACAGGAAAUCAGCGAGAAUCAACUGAGAAAGAAUAAAUGACAGUAUCCAAUAUCCUCUAGCGCCAUCGAUUAAAGAAACAAAAUUCAUAGGCAUAAUACAUAAACAUGCCAUAUAACUUGACCUCAAAUCACAUCUAUGACCUCCAACUUUGGGUGUGCACAAGAAGGCACUUGAACUUGUACAAAAUUGAGCAAUUAAACACACACGUCCUAUGUGGCAUAAUACACGUAGGACGCCAUGUCGGACAAGAAUUUUCCACGUAGGACAUAUGCGUCUACUUGUUCAACUUUAUACAAGUUUAAGUGCCUACUUGUGCACACCCAAAUUUGGAGGUCAUAGAUGUGAUCUGAGGCCAAGUUAAAGGGCAUGUUUAUGCAUUGUGCCAAAUUCAUAAGUCACGAUCACAUACCAUUAUCAUUAGUACUUCCUGUCCUUUGGAGAAUAGAACAUAAACAAUGCCAAAUUUCAAUCUGCUCACUCGUAAAUUAAAAGAGAACGCUCACAUGCCAAUCCGGCAUUAGUACCCCAGCAAGUGCAGGAUAUACACAGUAUUCCCCUUGCAUUUCUGCAAAGAGGUUGUAGGUCACGGAAGGAGCAACUCUAGCAUUGCGCCAAUGCUCACCCUCGCAUGAUAAAAGCACAUGCAAGAGCUAAUUUUCAACAAUUGACUAAUUUUUAUUUAUUUUUUAUAUAAAUCCAAGAAACAAUUGACUAAUCAUUACCAAUAAAAAUCUAGUCUUUACCAUGAAAGUGGAUAACCCAAGAAGUUGAUAUAGCAACACUACCAUUGCACCAAUGCUCGCUCUCACAUAAUAAAACUAAUAAAAAACAAGAAGUAAAAAUCCAAGAAUUCAACACUCAUUAGUAAAACAACAACAACAACGUACCUAGUGAAAUCCCACAUAUGAGGUCUGGGGAGGAUAAAGUAUACGCAAACCUUACCACUACCUCAGAAAAUCAACACUCAAUAGUAGUACUACACCAACAACAACAACAACAUACCCAGUGGGAAUUCCCACAAAGUGGGGUCUGGGUGAGGGUAAAGUGUAUGCAGUCCAUACCACUACCUCAAAUGAAGUAGAGAGGCUGUUUCCGGAUAGUUUACACAACUCAAAAGACACCAAUAAACUGAAAGAUACACAAUUGACUACUCAAUGUUAACAAUAUAUUUGAUUUUUUUUUUUUUUUUUUAUAAUUUAGCAAUAAAAAUUUGAUCCUUUUUUUUUUUUGGAUAAUUUAGCAAUAAAAAUUUAAUCUUUACCCAGAAACAAGCUAAACAUUACAAAUGCACAACCAUUAGUACUUAAAACCUAAAAUGAAUGACACUUUCAAGUUUCAGCUAAAGACUAAAAAUCAAAUAAUUAACACAAAAAUUACAAGAAAAAAAAAUCAAGAAUUCAACACUCAUUAAUAGUUUACACAAAUGAAAAGACACCCAUAAACUAAAAAAAAAAAUUACUGGAAUAAAUAAAGAUAAUUAAAUAAAUAAAAUAAAAUAAAAAAUAAAAAUUGUACCUUUGACUGGGAUCUUCAUCAGCUUGAAAAUUCCCACGAGAACGACCCAUUUAACUCUGAAAAUAAAAAUAAAAAAUCCCUAAAAUUCCAAUGUGAUAAAGAUUGAAAACCCAGAAAUUAAAAAAAAAUAAUUGAUGAAUUUUAUAGUAAUUUUUUUUUUUUCCUAAUUUGGGUAUUUUGUUUGAUACAAUUAUUGAAUGUUUUACACUGAAUAUUUUGUGUUUUUUAAGUUGGAUUUUUUUUUUUCUUUAGUUUGUCGGAUAAAUGACUUCAGAAAAAUGUUUUUCUUUUUCUGUUUUUUUUUUUUUUUUUGUUUUUUCAUAAGUAUUAGUGGUUACGAUGGAGUGAUAAGUAAUUUUAUUUUUUGUCUUUGAAUGUGAAUUUUGAAUUCGAGUAUUGUGUAUGAGGUUGUUUUUAAUUAAAUGUAUUUUAUUCUCGGUAUGAAACUUUGUGAUUUGAAUUCAAUUUAGUCAGGUGGUGAAAUGGAUACUAAAUAUCUAAAUGGAAAGAGAAAAGUUUUAAUAGUAUUUGGUUGAUGGAAGGUGUUGGGACAAGGUGAGAGUGACAUCGAUAGAUGACAAGUUACAGGAGUCGUCGUUCAAAUGGUUCGGGUAUGUGAAGAGAAGAUGCAUGAAUGUCGAGUGCGGAUGUGUAAUAGAUUGGUUGUUGAUACAAGCCAAAUUGGCUCAACUCUUUUGGGAUCUAUGCUUCAAGGACCAGACCUAAAGAUCUAAGACUUGAUCAUCGUAAGGAAGCAUAUACGUGUCAAUGCCAUUCGAGAGAGCAAGCAGCAACAUUGCAUUUGGAUGAUAGCUUGGGCCUCGAAGAGCAUAGGAAUGUGGCAACUUAGGCUUUCGCCACUUUUGGGUCCAAUUAAUAAUUAGGUUCAUUUUUGGGCCCAAAUUGUAAUAAAUGACUUCGGCCUAGCUAGGACCCUUUUCAUUUUAGAGUUACUUGCGAGUGUUUGUUUAUUGAAGCUUAUCGGGAGCUUUAUGGAUUGUUGAGAAACAUGGGUUGCUCGGGAUUCCAUUCUCGUGAGAUCCUCGUAAGAGGUUGGUGUUUGUGGUAAUUGAUAGGAAGGUCUUAUGGGUUAAUAUAUCCUUCGGUUGUCCUUUCUUUAUCAAUUUAUGUCGAUCUAUCUGUCCUUUUAUCUUUCUUUAUCCUUUACUUGUCUUGACUCGCUUUCCAUUGUUUCCCUUGUUUUCGUUUUCAUAUUUUCACCUUGUAUCAGUUGUGGAUGGUUUCAGAGAGGUGGAGGUAGGUUGAAGAAGUACGGUGAGUGAUUAGACAAAAUGCAGAACUCCAGUUUACCGAGGACCUGAACUUAAAUGAAAGACUAUCCUUUCAUAUUGUUAGUUGUAGUAAUAUCCACAUAACAUGUUUAAGAUCACAAGAUUUCAAAGUCUUUUUUAUUUUCUUAAACUCUGUGUCAAGUCAAAACAUGUUAUUCUUAUUGAAACCGAGGGAGUGCUAUAUAUUGUUCCUUUGCAAUUUGUUUAUCGUAUUAGUUUGUUGUAAUAACUCUCUUUCCAUAUGUUUUGUCAUAUUUUGUUUAGUUUUUUGUCAUGAUUUUUUUAUUAUGUUAUUUUUUUUCGAGGCGAGAAUCUAUCAAAAACAACCACUCUAUCUCUUAAUAUAAGAGUAAGAUCUGCGUAUACUUCCUAGACCUCACUUAUAAGACUACAUUGAGUAUAUUUUGUAUUUAUCGUGAUAGCCGUUCAACUUGUGUAUGCCUCAACAAAUUUCAAAAAUACCUGCUAUGUUUAAGCAGCACAAGUACCGAGUAACUCUGUCCACAGAGAAAUAAUCAUCUAGCACUACUCUUGGUUUAUUUUACAAAAACAACAACAUCAAAUCCAGUGUAUUCCCACAACGCGGGGUCUGGGGAGGGUAAGAUGUAUGCAGUCUAUACCACUACCUCUGAAGAAGUAAAGAAGUUGUUUCUGAUAGACCCUCAGCUCAGGACAAAAAGACAGUAAAUAAAGUCGUAAUACAGCAUGAAACAAGAUGAAAUAACAUAAAAGUUUAUUUUACAACAAUUCAACACAAGACAACAUAGUACAUAUCACCAACAUCAACCAAAGUUACAUUAAUCUUCUAGGUCAAGAUUAGACUACUACUCCUACUACUACUCUACUCAUCAUCUAGCAUUACUUGUUUUGUUUUCAAUUUAUCGUGGCAUCGAUCCAACUUAUACACACCUCGACGAAUUUCCAACCAUCACAAGUACCGAGUAACUCUGUCCACCUGAGCGAUGAUCAUCUAGCAUUACUCUUUCCGCGAUUGUUUCCAUACAAACGAAAGAGACUGAAUGCCGAUAUACCGGAGAGGACAAUCAUACUAAGACUAACUAGUAAAGAACUUGCAAUGCCUUCCCCAACUUGGUUACAAAAUUUGCCAUACAAAUUGCAAACCUUCAUCCAUUGUAACUGUGGUUGACCUAACUUGGAAAUUACACCAGACUGUGCCGCAGCAGCCACUGCCGAUAGAACCAAGUAGGCCAUCAACUGCACGCAGGUGAACAAGACGUCAAUGUAUUUUAAUCUGUUGUAGCACGUAACUUCUAUGAAAGAUUGUGUAUACUUAUGUUUUAGGCAACUUGACAGCGUAAAAAUUCUUUUAUACCAUCCGAAACACUGAGAUAGUAACAAUUACAAAGACGCUUUUUUUGAACUUUGAGUAAUCGACUGCAAAUGACAAGAAGAAAAAGAUAGUUAACGCCAACUGAACUAUCUUUUAGAGAUGGACAGCAACAUUCAACAUUGAACUUCCAAACUGCCGGAUGAGAUAAACAUCCGGUACCUUCCUGAACUAUUGCCAAAGUUGCUACGACGCAAUCCAACUUCACAGUGGUCCUACUAUCCCCUCCUAUUAUCCCUUGAACUCAAUUUUGGCGUAUUUUUGUCACCCUUUUGUGCUGAUGUGACAACUUUAUUACAUAAAAUGAGGUCCAGGUUAAAGGUGUCAUGUCAACUAAAAAGGUUGACAAAAGCUGCCAUGUCAGCUAAAAAGGCUGACAAAAAGAAGCUAAAAUUGAGUUCACGGGAUAAUAGGAUCCGUAAAGUUGAAGUGUGUCGUAGCAAAUUUGAGCAUAGAUCAGAGGUACACGAUAGGAUGAACCAGAAUUAGCAUUCAAGAUUUGAUGGAUUUUAUAGGUACACGAUAGGAUGAAUUUUUUUUUGUUUAUUAGGGGUUUGUCUUAUUUCCGAAGUUGAGGAAACAUGGUCAGAUCAGUGAGGAUUCAUAUAGCCGACCGACCCCAACUGGUUCCGGACUGAGGCGUAGGUGUUGCUGUUGGUGUGUGUCUCAUUUCUAAAGGUUUACGAGUAACGAACCAUAGAGUGGCUUGCCAAUAAUAUCCGAGACGAGCGAUUCGGGCAAGAGCCACCAGCUUCUGAAGUACAUUUAAUGUUGUCAUCCAGUUUUUGGUGUCACAAUUUAUGGCAGUGACUUUAACCAUUGGGCCCAAGAGUUAAUGGACUUAGAAUUGUUCUUAAAUGCCAAUCCAGUGCAUUUCCGGGAAAAUUGUUAAACAACAACAACAGCGACAUACCGAGUGAAAUCCCACAAGUGGGGUCUCGGGAAGGUAAGAUGUACGCAGACCUUACCCCUACCUUUGUGGGGUAGAGAGACUGUUUUUGGGGAAAUUGUUAGAUGGAAAAUAUGCAAAAACACCAAAUCAUCAUCUUGGAGCUACCAAAAAUUUCAAAAUCCUCGCAUGUUUGCUGGUCAGGAGGCUGAUUUAGCGGUCAAGAUAGUACAGUCAUAAAACAUGCAAGAAUUGUCUAGACUAGAAACAAAGCGGGUUCAACAGAACCCACUGUUUACCAUUUACUGUAUAUGUAUGUGCCCAGGAAAAAAACAGCACAUAUAUAAAGAGCAGAAUCGACUAACUCCAAAUCCUAGAUUAGCCACGGAUACGAACAGUCUUGUCUCACAAUUUAUAUGCAGAGAAGGAUCAAGCAAGCGGUUUUGUACUGCUUUCCCUCGGAACUUAGUUAUCAGGAAUAAACGUGGUUGAAUGUAGUAACUGAACUAAAAAACGCAGAAUCAACCAGUAAAGUAAACUAUAACGACAUUAUCUUUGACAGUAGUCACACACGAAAAACAACACAUAAGAUCGAUAACCAAAACACUCUGUGAUUCGUGGAUACGGAAAAUAAGUUCUACGUAAGUUCACAACAUGUCUUGGGUUUAAGGUGGACCAUUUUGGACUGGAUUACCGAUACAAUGCCUCCCUUGUUUUGAAUAAUAACAGAUUGAUUUUUCAGCACGUACCUUGACUAAAAAGGAAAAUGAUCGCACACAAUAUGCAUGUUAACAAGAAAAGCAAUGCAAAAGCAGGUGCCAAAACGAGGAUAGCGGAAUUCAGAGUACUAACAAUGACAAAUGUGUGAUCAUACCAACACUAACGAACCAGAUACUGUUAGAACUUCAAUAUUAACCAUGCUUGGGCGGGGAAUCUUUCACAGUCGAUUCUUUUAAUCCACAGUAUAUAGUUCUAUUCUAGUUAAAUUCAACGUACCGGCUACAUGUUCAUGAGGCAAACUAUUAUCCGUAAGCCCACCACACUAACAAUGGAGUAAAAUAAGGUGCAUCUAUGAUAAGUGCAAUAGGAUACGCCCGACUCAGAUCAGCUCAGUUUCUAAAAGGCUUUGCUCGAACUAUCCAAAAAUGCAGCCCCAUACAUGUAUUUUGGAGAAAUCAGACAUGCACCCGUCUACAUUUUUGGAAAGUCCGAGCAACAUAGUCUAAACUCUUUAACUAUCGACGCUUUGAAUUCAGAAGCAAAAACCUAUUAGGCAUAUGUCGUACCUGAUCACCGGAAAAAAUAGCCCAAGCCAGCGGCUUAUUGAAAAGAACACUUCCUCUAAUCAUACUGAAAAUGCACCUUAGAACUUGAAUCAGAGAGUAAGCAGCAGCUAAUCCAUUAGCUAUCACUAAAAAUCUGCAUAAAACGCAAAGUUAAGACCUUUAACCUUUAGGGUGUGUUUGGUAUGGAGGAAAAUGUUUUCCAAAUUUCUCAUGUUCCGUUGGUCGAUAUUUUUGAAAUAUAUACCGAGAAAAAAGACUUUUUUGUUGAAAGUAAAGAAAACAAAUUUCUACAAUCCACUCCUCUCUGGCCUCUGGCAUACCCAUCCACCCCGACUUCCCAGAGCUCCUACCUCCACCAUCCCGACAUUUGCUUAGAUUAAAAAAAAAUUGGCAGUCCGGUGCACUAAAGCUCCCGAUACGUGCGGGGUCGAGGAAAGAUCGGACCACAAGGGUCUAUUGUACGCAGCCUUACCCCACAUUUCUACAAGAGACUAUUUCCACGGCUUGAACCAGUGACCUCCAGAUCACAUGACAACAACUUUAUCAGUUACUCCAACGCUCCCGUUCAAUGUUUGCCUAGAUAAUAUAUAUAAAUAUUUUCGAGAUAAUAUAUUUUUACAAGAAAAACAUUCCCAAUGAUUAUCUCCUCCUUAUCUUCCAACACACACACCAGCCCAUCCUAGCCUCAUAGUCCUCAUCCCCAUUACCCCACAGUCCCACUCUUACCAACAUAGUAUAUUUGCUUAACUGUACCCAAAUACAACAAAAGCAUACCCGAUGUAAUUCCACAAGUGGUGAACGCAGUUUUGUCCCUACCUUGCGAAACUAUACACACUAUUUGAGAUAAGACAAUCAGCUCAAGUAAAGCAUAUUUCGUGCUAGGAGAAUAUUUUUCAAAUACAAGAAACAACAUCAUAUCUAGUAUAUUUUCACAAAAUGGUAUCUGGAAAGGAUAGAGUGUAGAGGUUGUUCGCGAUAGACCCCAACUCCAGACAAAAACAGUCUAGAAAAAGAUAUAAUAUAUAUAAACAUGAAACAAUUGAUAGUAACAAAACAACAAAUAGUAACAGAAACAAGACUACACAAAAUAAUACUGCAAUCGAUCUACCCCGAAACAACAAACAUCACCAAAACUCCAAGAACAGGACACUACAAGCAUAGUACUACGACAUCUAACACUGACUACAGAACAAAGCACUGCUACCUGUUAGGAUGAACACUCGAAAAUAAUACUAUAAUCGAUCUACCCGAAACAAAAACAUCACUAAAACUCCAAGAACAAGACACUACAAGCAUUGCGCUACGCUACGACUACCAGCACGGACGACAAAACAAAACACUCCUACCUACUAGCACGAAUGCACUCCUUUUUCAAGAAAAUAUCUUUCUUCAUACCAAACACACCUUAACCAUUAAAAAUGCAACCAACAAAAAAAACAACCAAAAAAUAAUGUUGCAACGGAUCUAUUCGAAACAACAAACAUCACCAAAACAUUAAGAACAAGGCAGUACAAGUGUAGCACUAUGACUGCUAGCAUGAACAACCAAACAAAACACUCCUACCUACUCCCACUUACCAGCAUGAAAGCACUCCUACCUACUACCAUACCAAACACACCCUUAAUCUCUAAAUAUAAUACAAGCUAAAAAAACAAACAACAUAGAGAAAAAAAAAGUUCAAAAGACUUACACAAGAAGUCUCAUGUCAAUGAACUUAGCUUCUUUCUUGAUUGAGAAGAUUUUUAACAAGAACCAAUAGAUAGCAACAGAAAUAAGAUUAUCACAAAAUAAUACUACAAUCGAUCUACCCAAAAUAAAAGACAUCACCAAAACUCUAACAACAAGACAUUAAUUACAAGCGUAAUACUAUGCCUACUAGCAUGAACAACCAAACAAAACACUCCUACUUACUAGCAUAAAAGCACUCCUACCUACUAGCAUACCAAAUACACCCUUAAUCUCUAAAUAUACAACCUAAAAAAACAAGGAGACAAGCAUCAAGUAACCACUCGAACUAUGACCAAAGUUGCUAGGACACAUUCCAACUUCACAUCAGUCCUAAGGGUAUUUUUUAUCACACCCUUUUAUACUGACAAGAUACUUUUAUUACAUUAAAAUAGAGCUCACGUCAAAGGUGUCACAUCAGCUAAAAAAAGCGACAAAAAUACACUAAAAUUGAGUCAGGAGUAAUAAGACCCUUGUGAAGUUGAGCAUAUCAUAGCAAAUUUGGCCAUAGUUCAGGAUACUAGAUGCUCUAGUCAAAAACAACCACAAAAUAAUACUGCAAUGCAUCUACUCGAAGCAACAAACAUCACCAAAACUCCAAGAAUAAGACGCUACAAGCAUAGCACUACGACUACUAGCACGAACAACAAAACAAAACACUCUACCUACUACCUACUAGCAUACCAAACACACCCUUAAUCUCUAAAUAUACAAGCUAAAAAAACAAGCAAAAUAGAGAAAAAAAAAAAAAGUUCAUGACUUACACAAGAACUUUCAUGUCAGUGAACUUAGCUUCUUUCUUGAUUGAAAAAAUAACUUUAACUUCACUAUCACUUCCUAUAAGUAGAGCACCAACAACUGCUAAACCCAAAAUUAUACAUCUCAAUAUCAACUCAGCUAUUUUCACUCUCUUAUCAAUUUUCUUCAUAUUAUUCCCAUGAUGAACUGGUACAUCACCAGGACUCACUCCAAUACCCAAAUAACUCAUAAUAAUAAUAUAUUUUUUUAGACUAAGGUAAUUAAUUAUGUUGCACACAAAAGUUAAGUGAAGAGAAAAUUUAAAUGUGUAAGGAAAUUUGUAGCUUCUACGUGUGGUCAUUAUAUAGGGGAAAAGUUUUCAAUGGACUUUACUUUCUUCACACAUUUUAUUUGGUAACAUAGUAAUGCUCCACGUGGCAUACUCUACAACUUUACUCUUGGUGAAAAUAAUUUAGAGUAAAACACCCUCGAGUUAUAGUCAAAGUUGUUAUCAAAUACUUCAACUUCACAGAGGCUUAGCCUUAUUAUUUUUUGAAUUCAAUUUUAGCGUAUUUUGUAAUCCUUUAGUAUUGACGUGAUAAUUUUAUUACAUAAAAUAUGACUCACAUUAAAGAUAAUGUCACGUUAGCUAAAAAGAUUAAAAAAAUAUGAUAAAAUUUAAUUUGGAAUAAUAGAGACCCCAUGAAGUUAGUUGGAAUGUGUCGUACUAAAUAUUUUACUCAAUAAUUUAUAUUCAUAUAAAUACUCAAUAAUCAUGUUAAAACACAAGUUUUAAAUAUUAUGUCAAGUAAAAAAAUAUCAGUUAUGAAAUGAACAAAAUAUUAUUUUAUUUGAUAGUAAUAUUAAUACAUUUUUUUUUUAAAACCUUUUUGGCAUUAUUUUUGUAGUAGUAUUAUAUUAUUUUCAGAUAUUAUAGUUGUGGUGGAGCUCAGAUGCAGCACAUCAGUCCUAAAUUCUAAUUUGUUUUUUUUUUUUUCCUUUUUUAAUUAUUUUUUAUUUGAUGUUGGUAUUAAGAAUUUGACUAAUUUAAAUUUGCGUCGCGUAAGAUUCAUUUUAGAAAUUAUUUUCCUUCUAAAAUGAAUUUACUCUAUAUCAACUCAAAUUUAAUCGAAAUCUUAAUACAAUAUCAGAUAUUGAAUGAGCAACCAAAGUAAUUGCUUUGGCAUUAUAUUGCCAACAAAAAGAAAUUAAUAAGUGAUUUUUUUUCUCGAUUUCAAUAUCUGUAUUGAAUUUGAUUAUUACGAUUUCUCAUCUAAAGUUCAUUUUAGAGUGAUUUUUUCUUAGUUAAAUCUUAUAUAAAAUGAAUCUAAAUUAAUCGAGAUCGAAUCAAAAUAGAAAAUAUUGUCAAAUAUUGAAUAAGAAACAAAAAAAGUGGUUCUAGUUUAAUGACUUUGGCAUAACACUACCAAAGUAACCAAAAACAAAUUAAGUAAUUUUUUUAUCAUAUUUUAAAAUAUUCAAUUGAAAUAGAUCGUAAUUUAAGCAUCUCAAUAAAAUUUACUGAUAAAUUUAUCGAAUUAAUAGGCACAUAUUUAGCCAAAUUGCUUUGACCAUGUGUACAAAUUAGGGAAGAACACAUCACUUCAUCAUGCAAUAGAGGACACAAAGCAAUUAAUUUUGCAUUAAAUGAGAAAAAUCUAAUAGGUAGGGUUGGCAUUUAAGGAUUAGCUUGGAAAAGAAAACUUGAAAUUUAGGACAAUUUUUUAAAAUAAAAUAAAAGUUAUUCUCACUCAAUAAUCACACUAAUCUAGUGAAUAAAUGACAUAUACUUUCACCUAAAUAUUUUAUUAUUAAAUUAUAAUUCAUUAAUAUAUUAUGAUUUUGAGUCGUGAAUCUAUCAAAAAUAGUCUGUCUAUUUCAUCUAAAGUAGUGGUAUGAACUGUAUAUAUUUUACCCUUCCUAGAUUUAUUUUGGGAGAAUACACUGGAUAUGUUGUUGUUGUAAUAUAUUAUGAUUUAAAUUUUAAAUUAAUUAUAAUAACAUAAUAAUUUAAUAUAAACAUCAAAUACCAAUAAAAACUUUUAGCUGUUUUUUCUUAUCCAAGAUGGAAAAGGAUAUGGGUAAGAUAUCAACAUGAGUUGCGGUAUAGUGGUUGAAUUGUUAUACCCUUAAUAAGAUGUUUCGAGUUUGAAUUUCGAGUAUAGAGAAAAUCAUAUUCGGAGCAGAGCGUCAUCCCCAGAAUAGAUUCUAUACUGCACGAUUUUAAUUAAUUGGGAUUUCAAUAUUAAUAUCGGAAACCGAUUAAAUAAAUAUAUAUGGGGUAAGGUGGUGCAUUGAAUUCUAUUUAUUGAGUGUUAGGUGCAGUGGAAUUUAUGAUGAUCCAUUUCUUUCUUUUGAAAUAGUAAAAGGGACAUAAGUUAGGUGGUUCAUUUUGUUAUUUUUGUCUCAUCUUUUCUUAAAUGUUUCAAGAAUUUUGAUAAUAAUUAAUGUAAUGUGACUUAUAAUAAGUAUAUAUAUAUAUAUGGCAUUGCGUUUGGUGAAGGUCAUGAUGAUUUCCACUAUGUCAGUGAGCGUUUUUUGGGAUCAUAUAGGUGAUCAAAAGUUUUUUCGAGUUCAAACUGAAUAUACAUGCAUCGAUAGUGAUUUAAUGUUAAGAUUAGUGACGAAAUCUCAUAACAAAGUUGUAUGAGGCAGAAGUCUCACGUAUGAUUUCCUGAGAAAGGAAUGACUACUUAGUAGAGCUUCGACCAAGCACAACCAGUCAAUUCUGUUUUGAAGUAACCCUUGAGUCUUAUAUCGUGUUUGGUGAAGUCAUGAUGAUUUCCGACAUGUCAUUAAUCCGACGAGUCAGCGAGCGAUUUUUUUGGGUCAGAAAGCAAGUGGGACCAUACAAGUGGCCAAAAAUUUUUACGAGGUCAAACUGAAUAUAAUGCAUAGAUAGUGAUUUAAUGUUAAGAUCGGUAAUAAUAUCUCGUAACAGAGUUGUAUGAGACAAAAGUCUCACAUAAGUCACGAUUUAUGUUCAUCCCGAUCCGAGUUGGCUUCUUGGAAAGUUCAUUUCUAUCGCACUCACGACUUGACUGGCCUGUCGAUCGAUAAAUAAACCACAUAUCUAUAUACAAAUUUUGAGGACUAUAUAUAAGUCCAUAACUUUGGGACAUAAUAAUUUUUCUUUUAUGUCAGUAUGAAAAUGGAGAAUUUUCACUAAUAAAUAUGCCAUGUGAAAGAUAUUUUCACAUUUAUUUUCGUUGCAAAGAAAUAGUAAUAUUUAAGUAUUAAAAAAUACUAUAAAUAUAUAUAUAUUUAAGUACUACCUAAUAGUAUGAAGAUUUUGUUCUUUUCUUGUUCCCUUUAAUUCCCCCUACCCCCACAACCAUAAAUUUUGAGUUGUUGAUGCUAUUAUUGCAUGCUUUUAUCCCCACAUUUCAGACCCAAUUUGUUUCAUUUUUAAGAAAUUUAUUUUUGAAAUAUAUAUUUUUCAAAACUUUUAAGCAACGACGUUACAAUGUUAUACGUCCUGAGCCGGGGGUCUAUCGGAAACAACAUCUCUACUUCAUUUGAGGUUGUGAUAUGAAUCGCGUACACUUCAUUUGAGUUGUUGCCUUCAUUAUUGCAUGUUUAUUGACUAUAUGUGUUAUCCCUUUCUUCUCUCAAUCUUCUUUUAUCCUCACAUUCCAUACCCAACUUGUAGCUUUGCCCCUAUUUUUGACUAGCUGAUAAUGUGGUCCUUUUGAUCCUGUAUUGCUUGGUGUAGGUGGGGGUGGGGGGAGGGGGUGAAACAAGUUGCAUAUAUACUAAUUAGUAUGAUUAAGUGAUAAAUAUUAUAAAAUGAAUGCUUCAAUCUAUUGGAUACACAUUUAUCUUCUAUUGUACGAAUACUAAAUAACUCUGUUCACAAAGACUUGAAACAAGUCGUAAAAGUCAACUAGAAAGAGCCUUUUAAAGGACCGGAAGGAAAAGGGGAUGCUUCGAUAUUGAUGGAGUUUGAACAAGUAUAGAAGGUCGAUUAGUAUUGGGUGUGAGAACAAAGUUUCAUAUGAUAAUUGAAAGGAAAGAAAAAAGGGAGUUUCGUAUAACAUAUAGCGAUACUCUUAAUGGUAUGAGACCGUUUGAAAAAAAUCGUGUAGAUAUGACCCAAAACGGCCUUUUCUUGAUCGCUGCACAUAGCUAGAGCUAGGGGUGUACAUGGGUUUGGUUAAAAACCAAACCGAACCGUAAACCGAACCAAACCGAUUAAAAAAAUCAAUGUUUGGUUUGGUUUAGUUAGGUUUGGUUUUAAAUUUUAAAAAAUCGAUGCUAUUUGGUUUGGUUAUGGUUUUACUUAAAAAAAAUCGUGAAAAUAACCAAACCGAACCGAUAAAUUUUAUAUAUAUAUAUAUAUUAUAAUUAUUUAUAUAUAAUUUAUAAACAAAAUAUAAAUAUUAAAAUUUAUAUAUAUACACAAACUAAAGUUACCUUAUUACAUUAAAUACUAAUUUGGUAAAGUAUUUACACAAAUCCCAAAUUAAUUACAUAAAUUUUCUUUUUUGGUACUUUCUCUCUCAUAAACCUUAUACAUCUAAAACACUAUAUUUUCUUCCGUAUUUUGCUCCCUAUCUGCUCCCAUUAAACCCAUAUUUUCUCCAUAUUUGAAAACUCUUUUUUCACGGCAAAAUCAAGUAAUCUACUUGGAGGUUAUCAAUUUGUAAGUUUUGAAGCUUUAAUUGAUUUUAUUGAUUUACUUUUUUUUUUUUUUUCAACUUUACCAAUCUAGGAUUUGUUUCGUUUAUUCUCUCAAUGCAUGUUCGUUUCUAUGAAAUUACUAUGUUUUGCAAGUAUAUUCAACUUUCGUAGUUUGAUUUUUUCGUUUUUCUUCAUAUACUACAAGUUAGAUUUUUGAUUUUCUUGGUUUGUACUUGUUUUUGCUUAAUCGAUAUAGUGUAAAAUUGGUAAUGGAUUCUCGUCCUAACUUUAGUUUAGGACUUAGUCAGUUAGAUUCCCCAAAACAAGAUAUUUCCGUUGGGUUUGUUCCUUGUACAUUUGAUUACGAAGAACCCAAUUUCGCAAAGAAUCGUUCAAAGCAUUGAAACGAACCGGCAACAAUCAUAAAUUGAAGGAAGCAGCUAGUUCUAGAUCGAAGAAGUUUGAUGAUUCUGGUCGACCACGUCUUCCGAAGAUAUUGAUUAUGAGUUUAUGUAUAAGUUGACAUAUGUAUAAUAAGACAUUAUACAUUAGCUAUUUCAUCCCACUAAUGUAUAAUGUAGGUAUUCUGAAAUAUAUUUCUAUAGGUUAUACGUUGGCAGUUAUGAAAAACAAACAGUUAUAAAGUAUUAAUUUUGUAUAAGGUGACAUUAUACAUUACAGUAGUUUACUUUUUAAAUGUGUAAGCUACACUCAUAAAUGUAUACCUGUUGCUUAAUUAGGUCUUAUAUUAAUUUUGAGAUCUGUAAGUUAUCCUCAUACAUGUGUAAUUGUUGUUUAUUUAGGGUCUGAUAUAAAUUGUUAGAUGUAUAAAUAACCAUCAUACAUUUGUAUCUGUUGUUUAAUUAUGAUCCUGAUUUAAAUUUUUAGAUGUAUAAGUUACCCCAUACAGGUUUAACUGUUAUUUUUAGAUUGCAAUUAGAAAAGUACAUGAAAACUUGCUUCAAAUUAUCAACUUUCAAAUAUUGAUGAGAAUUGGAAGGAGUGAUUAUGAUACUUAUUAUUCUUCAUCUAAAGUUUUGAUUAGGAAAUGUGUUAGCUUACAUGAAAAAAGUAUUGAUAAUUCUCAAACUCAAUGGUUCAAGUUUGUGUCAGCCAAUGUUUAGUAGAAUUCAAGAGAUUUUUUUGAUAGGAGCCCAUAUGUAGAAUUGCAUUGAGUAUGUUGUUAUAUUGACAUGAUUAGAGUUGCAACUUAUUAUAAUUUUUACAUAAUUUUGAAUAUAUAAUUUUAGUAAUAUUGAGUGAUCUUAUCUGUUUAAUUGACUCUCGAGAAGCAAAAAUAUCACUUAACUUGAAGCCGAUUAAGUAAAUAAUAGGUCGCAAUUUGCAGCGAUCUACAUGAUAUAUAAAUAUAGAUUAUAGUCUUAUCUAUUACUAUUUCAUACCAAUCUACUAUUUAUUAACUAUGACUCUAAAAGAGAACGUGUAUCUUGUGAACCAAGUCAUACUACAAAUUUAAUAGGUUAUAGUAAACCAUCUAUUUUAUUUUUCAACUAACUUUACAUAUUAUAGGAAAUUGUGAAUAAUUUAUCUUGUAAGUGACCUGAUUGGAUACAAAUUAAGAUAUGGUGUACAUUUGACCCAAAACAUACUACAAACUUUUCACGCUAUAGUAAAUUACUUACAUUUUGUUUCAACUAGUUUUACUUGUUGUGAUAAAUUAAGUAUAGUCUUUUACAUAACUUGAUAGGAUACAAAUUCUUUUAAGCUAUUACCACUUAUAAUUCGAACAGAAUUCUCCUCAAUAGAUCAGAUAAGGAUUAAUUUUUUGAGAUAAAUUUUAUUUUGUCCGAUCACAUCAACAUUAACUACCACUAUAAAUAUACAAGAUCAAUCAAUUCUUUUCGUUCAAUAUAACCAACUUUAUUUCAUAAGUGUAAUCGUUAUUUCUGAUAGACCCUCGGCUUAUGCUCUUUGAUACUCUUCGGAUAAAAACAUGGUGAAAUUAGCCACAAUAUUUAUUUUUCUUUGCUCUUUUGCAACUUUUUCUCAUUGUUUACCAUUAUCAACAAGUUCUAGAUGGAUAGUAGAUGAUGCAACUGGUGAAAGAGUAAAGUUAGUUUGUGGAAAUUGGCCUGGCCAUAUAGAGACCAUGUUACCAGAAAGCCUAGAUCUGCAGCCCAUUAGCCAUAUUGCUAGGCACAUUUCCGAUUCAUUCAUAGAAGACGUCUUCAAGACCCACUUGCAAUCUUUGUUACGAUAAUUCAGUACAUAACUUUAAUUUUUUUACAAUGAAUCAAUUUAUUAAAUAAAAGUAUUAAAUAUAUAUAUCCGAAUGUAUAAUCAAAUAUUAUACAUUCGUAAUUUAAUUAUUCAAUUACACAAAAACCAACAAUAAAACACAAACUACUUCAGAAUGUCUAAAACCAUAUUACCAUACAUUUCUUGGACUGACACAAUUGCAUUAUACAUUGACAUGAAUGUAUAAUAACACAUUAUACAUUCGUACCUUUAUGAGCUUCAGCAACAUAGAACCCAACUUUAGAACAUAAACUUCUUCAAAACCUCUAAAACCAUAUUACCAUAGAUUAUAAGAUCAACAAAUAAAAUCGAUACACAAUACAACACUUGUUUCUUUAUCAAACUGUAUUUCCUUAUUGGAUUUGUCGAAAGUGGAAAUACAAAGCGGAAAAUUAACCAAUUCAAAAAAUUAUUUCUUCAACUAAACGUAAACCCUCACUCUAUUGUCGUUCCUUAUGACAAUUGGAGAAGAAUUUCCUUCAACCACAUAUUUAACUUCAAUUUUUUUACGUACUUCAUCGAUAUCCAAUUCCAUGGCGAUCAUAGCAACCAAUUUCAAGAAAGUUAUACUUUUCAAAACAAUUAUUGCGUCACUUUUGUAUGACUGAUAACUAAUUUCUGACUCCCAAAUUUCAGAAUAUUGCAACAAUAUUCAUAUUGAUUUUAGUAGUAUUGAAGAACGUAUGUAGAAGAAAUUGGUUGUUUUUGGCUUUCCAGAUCAUGAUUCCCAGAAAAAAAUAAAAAAAAAUUGAUGUUUAAGAAAUUUUUUGAAAUUCAAAUAUCAGUUACUCGUUUUAUCCAUAAACGAGUUAAUGUUAGUUAAUUAUUGCCGUUAAUUAAGGAAUUAUAAAAUAAUUUAUGAUUUCUCUUACCUUAAAUUUAGGAUUAGUUGUUUCAUCAUACAUUCGACCAAUGUAUAAUAGAAGGCUGAAUGUAUGAGUAUCUUUGCAAAAAUCGGGAGAGAGAAAAUAAGAAGGAAUUUUGUGUAAUUAGUUUCAUUAACUAGGGGAUUUAUGUUGUUUACACAUAUAAAUAUUUUAUUAAAUUUAAUCUUAAACUACAUUUUAAUAUAUGUAUAGCCCAACCAAUACUUUAGUCCAAUUGCCCAAAGCCCCAAACCCAAGCCCAACUCUACCUACUAUUACUAAUAAGUUAACCCUACGGUCCCUACCUCACUUUUCUACUUCAACUUUCACAAUACGUAGUACAUCAACUGCUGCUUCUUUUGUUCUUCAUUGAAAGACAACACCACAUUAGCUUCUGUUGUUCUUCAUAGAUAGCAAACGAUAAAAAAAUUUCUUUUCAGUUUUUUAUCUCACAAGAAAAAACAAAAAUAAAGAUUGAAGCUUGGAAAGUGAAAACUUUAAAUACAAGAUUAUUAAAGCUUGGGAAGGCAAUUUUUAGUUUUUUUAUUCUAGCUACCUUAGAUAAUUUUAAUUUUAUACAAGUAUUUAGAGGAGUGCAUGACAUGUAAUUAGUUUUUUUAAAUGAUUUUUUUCUUCUCUUUCCUGUCAUCCGUACCUUUAAUUAUGAGCAAUUGUAUAAAUAAUUGUCGUUCUUUUAUUUAAUUGUUUGCGAGCAGUGAAUUAUGCAAAAUUGAACUAAAUUUGGAAGAGGGGGCUCUUAUAGUCCUAUGUUAAGAGUUACCAAGUGAAGGGGUUUUUCCUCUUGUUUGUUUUGCGUUGAUGGUCCAUGCAACUGCAAGUGUUUCACUUUCUUCCUGUUGAUUAUACUUGUGCCAUGUUUUCUAGAGUAUCAGCUAUGGGUGUCAAAUGGGUUGGGCUGGCUUGUUUAGUUUCUUAAUCCCCUAUAUCUCGUUUACGCUCGCUUUCGUAGUGUAGUCUUCUCUUCAUUUUUUUGUGAAAUAUUUUUGGUGAUUAAAUCUAAUUCUAUUUUAUCGUAAAAUCCCAAAGUUUCAUGGGAUGGAACUUUAGCUAGGCAAUGGUGCAGAGGGGUUUUAUUAAAUGUUACUGAAUUUGUAUUGAUGUAUGGUUUGUAAAUAACCCAAGAGAGAUGACAUGAAUGAUGACUAAAACUGUAAUCCAUAUGCUGCUUCAUCUUCAGACACAAAAAUAAAGAAUCUUUCAAACGAGUUACCAUGGUCCUUGGUUCAAAUGGUAGUUUUAUGUCUCCUUGUUUAUUCAAUCUUUUUCCAAUAUGAUUAGCUUACCUAGCUAGUUUAUAAAGUAAACAGAUAACUCAAAUUUGCCCAACUCCGUCUCUUCUUGCAGUACACUGCAACAGAAUACAAAGUUCUGUUUUACAAUGUACAUGUAUGUGUUUGUAUGUUGUUCGAUAAUCUUAGUGCCUACAAUACAAAGCUAGUGAUUUUCAUGUUGGUUUUGUUUAAUGUGUUUGUUCUGAUUUUUAAGAGUUUAUAGUGUCAUUUGUCCAUCACUGUAAAAAUAUUUCAUGGGUUAAAAUAUUUCAAUUUGAUACUCUUUUCCAUGGGUUAAAAAAAAGAGUUUAUUCUAGAGAUGAUUGGAGUAGACUAGUCAAUAACUGAAAAAAUCGAAAAACCGAACCAAACCGACGGUUAUUUUCUUUUUGCGGUUUGGUUUGGUUUGGUUUUAGAAAUUCAAAAACCGACUAAAUUGAUUUUGGUUAUGGUUUUAACCAUUAACCAAACCGACGAUUAUUUUCUUUUUGCGGUUUGGUUUGGUUUGGUUUUAGAAAUUCAAAAACCGACUAAAUUGAUUAUGGUUAUGGUUUUAACCAUUAACCGAUUCAAACCAACCAUGAACACCCCUAGCUAGAGCUUAGUGCCCCGGCUUGAAUAUCAUGCAUCAGAAAAAAGAAGGCAUAGAAGAAAAAUUAUCAAAGACCAUAAGUUCAAAACCAAUUCAUAAAUCCAGAAAGCCUAGUAAAAUUCAAGCCAAUGUAGUUCAUGGCAUUUGAUCACCCCCCACCCCACCUCCACCCCCCUUUGAAAACAACAAUCUACAGAUUCUUAAUCAAAUCUUGGAUUUUGCUGUACAUAAUCUGUGGAGAGUCGCUUCCUCCGGCGCUGCUCUGCGACGCUCGUGAACUUCCUUGAAGCUGCAUUCUCUCAAUCAUGUAGUUCUUCUCUGCCUCGGCCUCGUUUAACCGCUGUUUCAGAUACCUCUUAAGGUAGUCCUCUUCCGACGACUUGUCUGUCUUGGCCAGCGCAAUUCGUUGCAGUCUCUCAGCUUCGCAUCUAGCUUCGCUGGCCUUUUUGUCAAACAUAUCAGCCUCAGCCUGUUUAAGCCUUACGAUGCUUUCAAGCUCAUCAAUUUGUUCCUUCUUCUUCUGCCUCUCCAUUUGCAGCACGGUCGCUUCGCGAGAUUUAUCCUUGAUCUCCUGCUCACAUGCUUCGUAAGAUAACCGUGCUUUCUUAACCAUCCGCUUUUUUUCUGCCUCUACAGCUUCCAUUUUUCGGAUGGCUUCCUGUACUAAACCUGCAAUCUUGUUGAAUGCCUCUAAUGGAGCUAUGGGACCACGAUCGUCAUUGUCUUGACUCUUCGAAUGAUCCACAUCAAGAUCUGCGUAAACGUUGGAAGGAAAAAAAUUCAAAGAGGAAACGUAAAACUUGAAUAUUUAUUUGAGAUUCUUGAUUUCUCCAUUACAUUGCUUACGUUAGAAAAAGACGGUAAAUACCUUACAUUAAGCCAGAAAUUUACCCAACGCCUAUCAACAACAACAUGCCUAGUGUAAUACCGUAAGUGGGGUCUGGGUAGGACGUACACAGACCUUACCGAUCAGUCAUAUCACUUACUAUCAUUUGAAAUCUCAAACUCAAAGCCAAGAAAUAAAAUUAACCAAGUACAAAUCAAUAUCAGUUUAAAACACUAAGAAAUCCACAAACAUAAAAACGAAUAGUCGCCAAGCACUAGAAAUGAAGCUAACUUUCUUCAAUAACCGAGAAAUCCCCAAGGGAUAGUGGCACAAAGUUAGAAACUCGGUGGAUGAUGGGUCCGGCCCUCCACGGUUCUCCAUUUGAAUACCAAGUUUUUGUCUACGAUAGGGUUCAAAUCUGUGGCGUGCACCUAAUCUACACAUCACAAGCUACACUCUCCCGACUAGAUCAAUGUCCAGGAGCAAGUUUACAUGUUAUUUGAGACAGUAACAUGGUCACCCCUCCCGUCUUGUUUCACGAGACGACCAAUGUCAAAUUAGUUCCAUAUUGUGAUGAAAACAGUAAUUAAAAUGCACAACCUAGGUGGCUUAAAAUCGUAUUGAAAAGUCUGGACUAUUAGCAAGCGAUGAUCAUAGUUUACAGUUAACACCCAGAUAUAGCGGUUAGAAACCAAACUACAAACACACUGCUUGUAUAAUCAGCCACACUUGUUGUACCUUUUACAUCAGGUCACUAGAGGAAACAAGUCUAGCCCGAAAACAACAUGGUUCUUCCACGAUUUAUUUCACUUUUUCCACUUUGAUACAAUAAUAAGAUCCAACUUCCGACCAAUCACCCUUGAAGUCCCUAACAAAUAGUAACAAUUUUCCCAUGCAUAUUCUCAUGGAAGAAAAUGUGAUGAACCUAAUGAACAACAACAUACCCAAUAUAGGUCCGGGGAGGGGUACGCAGCCCUUGCCACUGCCUUUCUAGGUAGAGAGGCCGUUUCAUAUAGACCCUUGGCUCAAGGAAAGCAAAACGACAACAUUUAUGGAGACAUUUUCUCAUGCAUAUUCUCAUGGAAGACUAAGAAUGAGAAAUAUGGAAAUACUACUAUAAUAAAACACUGAAAAUAAUACAAAUACUACUAGGAGGAGAGACAAGACAUGAAACAAAUGAAUGCACAGACAAAUAAUGAAAUAACUGCCUAAAAUUUUUGUCGGAAUAUGGUUAUUCUGGGUGACCCUCUUUUUUUGGGUGGACGAGGUGGGUAGGGGUGGGUGAGGGUUAGGUAACUUGAUUAACUUGUCAACGUUGCCAGCAAAAUCUUUUUCACUUGAGAAACUUAAAUUACAUCAGGGAAUAAUCUAAUACAUCUACAAUAUACAACCAGUUUUUUUUUUUUUUUUUAGGUAAUUCCAAGAAGUUCAGUUAAAUUACUAAAAACGCAAUGUAGCAUCCUCCAUAACCAUUAAAGAGUGGGUCGAUUAGUAGGCAAGAUUAACCAAAAUAUUAAGUUAGAUUGGAUUCAUCUCGUAUUUUCUCAAGAUUAUGCCAGAUUCAAAACUUUAAUCUGAUGAUGACUCGAGCGAAUUUGGUUCUGAUCUGCCAACUAUAUCCACCGGAUUGCGACAUUAAAGGAUAAUUUAGCUCCUUGUACAUGAAGCGAAUUCACAAAACAUCUUUUUCCUCCUUUCGUUUUCUCCCUCUCACCAAACCAGCAUAUCCCUACCCUGCUUCUCUCAUUUAUCUCACUAUGACUUGUCAAAAUUUGCUCUAAAUAGUCUUUAACAGACUUAGUCCCCGUUUGGCUAUGAGAAAUAUUCUCUUUUUUUCUGGAAUUUUUUUUGUUUACUUUACUCAAAAAUGAAGUUUGGCCAUAAAAACUCCAAAUACAACAAUUGUAUUUGGAAAAGUGAAAACAAGUCUCGACUUGUUUUCACCUUUUUCACUUCCACUUCUCUCACAAAAAUUCAUAAACAACUCUUAUAUUCAUGAACAAACAUAACUCCAACUCCAAAUAUUUUUUGGUUUUCAUGCCCAAACGCCUACUCAAACUAACUUACCUCGAUAGCCCAUUCUCUUAUCCAUCCUAGCUUAAACACUCCUUUCUCCUCCUUAUACAUCCCUAAUAGGUUUCCCAAGGUUACUCAACUCAUUUUCUAAUAGAUUUCUUAGCUUCUUAUACUCUUUAGAGGUUUCACCAUCUUUUGGCAUUCCGCCACCACGAUUUCGAUAGUCAAGGCUCUAGCCCUUACGCUUAGGCUCAAACCCAGUAAAGUAAAAGACUUGUUAUCUGGAAUCCCAUAUAUCCUAGCUCCGCCUCUGGUUCUAUGUCUUUAAAUAUCACUACUUUUUUUAAUCUUUGUCCACUUCUAAGUUCCAUGCUAUAUUUUUCAAUAUCAUAUCCUUAAAUGCUAAUUGAUUCGUGCCUCUUAGUGUUCACAAUCGUAUUCUUUGUUGCCUGCAACUCCUCUCCUUUCAACAACACUACUUUCUUCUAUCUACAACUACUUCUAAGUUCCAUGAUCCAUCUUUCAAUAUCUUGUCCUAAAUACCAAUUGGUUUGUACGCAUGCAACUCUUCUCCUAUUGCUCCACUAUUCGAAUUACCUAUGGCCACCAAUCUAUGCAUAAAAAAUGCAUGGCUAAUAUGUUAAAGAAAAUUGCUGGAGUUUAGAGUAUAUCGGAAUUAAAAGUUCAAUAUUUUAUGAGAUAAUUAUUUGUUAUUUCAGAUAACUCUACUUAAUAAACAACGCACAUGCUUCUCAGUCCAGUAAAUGUCCGAGCAAAGGGAUAUAUACACCCUUUAAUCCACCGAGCCUACUAAAGAAUCCUAACUAUAGAUCAACAAAGCCAAAGAGCAGAGGACCAAUCGUUAAAUAAUUGUUAACCUGCUAUAUUCGAUUUCUUGUUGGACGUAUCAAGCUUUUAUUCUAAAUCUCGGACAGACCAAUUCAAGUGUUCCAGAACAAUAAUCAUUAUAAACUAUGCAUCACUCAAAAAAUGUGUAGAAAAAGGUUAAGGAAAUAAAUAAGACGACAGGCUUACCUUGGAAAAGGGAUAAUUUACAAGCCAUAGGGUCAGCAACGCCACCUUUCAGCUUUUCAAUGAGUUCCUCGCAUUUCCGAAAUAACUUACGGCCUCUGGCAUCUUCACUUCUCUGGAAAAUUCUCCUGACAAAGUCGAGCUGUCUAACAAAAGCUUCCGCAUCCCAACUUGGGCCACAGUGUUGGAACACAUCUUUAACCCAACCAAAUAACUCAGAUGUCCUGCUACAAGCAUGGCAUCUGAAGAGCAUCUCGACUGAGCUAUCACCAUUCUUAACAGAAGGGCCCAUUCCAAUCUGCCCAUUGCUAAUGGCACAUUCCGUAUGUGUCCAAUGAGAACAAAGAUCACAACCAAUCCAUCGGCAAGUAUUCACCUCAAAAUCAAACUUGUUACAAAUCACACACAUGCAAAGGUUGCAGAAACCAUUUCUCUUCGAGCAAAGCUUGCAGCUACAUUCCUCUGCUGGAAGCACACUGCCACAUGCUAUGCUUCGGCACCUCUUAUACAAGAAAAUGUCGAUGAGAGAAGCUUGAGAGAGACUGACACUAGGAUGCAAGUAUGCCUGAAUUCCGGUCCUGAUGGCAACUAGAAUUUCUAGCUGGGCACGGUGUGUUAUAGACAGGAGUCCAUCCGUCAAAUCCCCCCUACUAUUCACUAGCCUUUGGAGGAAUUGAAACUCGUCUCGGUGCUGAGCACCAGCUGAUCCUUCAAGAAUGACCCGAAGUUCAUGUUUGAACUUCUCUAGAUACUCAUCCGGGAGAUUUCGCAUCCUGUCAGCUACAAGGUCAACUCUUUCUCGAGCAAUGUCCCGAAGGGAUAUUUUUUCUGAGUUUGACAUAUUGCGGACAACAGAGUGCUCAGCAUAGCCAUUCUCUUUCUCCUUCCUUUUUUUCCCCAUCAAAGCAUCAGAUGUUGGCCAAGUUUCGCGUGAGCUAGCACUUUCAGAUGGUGAAUCACGUGCCUGAUCAGAGUUUGAGCCACGUUCUUGAAGAUUAGGAGAUCCGCAGGCAUCAGGAGAGACAACCAAGGAUAAAGACGUCUGAAUUCCACCAGGCCGUGGUUGUUGGCGUGGAGGCAGCAUUUUUCCUCGACGCUGUGAUCAAAAUGAGUCACAAAAGGUUUCCAUCAGCAAACGUUCAGAAAUGUGCUAAACAGAAAAACAAAACAAAACCAAUGUCUGAUCCAGUAUGCUUCAAAUGUAUUUUCACUUCUAAAUUUCCCUUAAAAGAAACAAUUUAACACAUAAAAAAAAGAAUCACAAGGUAUAUUAUCUCAUCUUUCUAAAUAUACAAACAUCUCUAACAAAAAGUAUAUAAAGGUUGUUUUUUUUCAAACUAGGAAACUAAAAACACCAUAUCUUGCCAAGUACAAGCAAACAUAUCUUACUAACUAUAUCUUGUACUUCCUAAUUCAAACCAACAUUUUACUUUUUAAAUUCAUCGAUGCUAUCAAAAUACCUCUCUAGUUCCAUUACUCCAAAAAGAGUGAAAGGGUCAAAAACACACCUUAAGUAUCCCGGCUUUUUGAGUUUCAUACCUGAACUAUCACCAAUUAUUCAUUAAAACACACCUCAGCUAUCAAUUAUUCACUUUUCCUACCUGAAAUAUCACCAUCGUUCAAGUAGGAAAAGUGACAAUUGAUAGUUAAAGAAGCGUGUUUUGGUGAAUAGCUAGUGAUAGUUCAAGUACGAAACUCACGCACCUGAUAGUUCAGGUAUGAAACUAAAAAAAAAGGAUACUUUAGGUCUGCUUUUAUCAUUCUAAGUUGCUCGGACUCUCCAAAAAUGUUGCCACACCCAGGUUGGAUCCUCCAAGAAUGCACUGCUUUUAGAGGAUCCAAUACGCAACCCGUGACACUUUUGAAGAGUCCGAACAACAUAGAUUACUAUUAACUCCAAAAAAGCAAAAUAGCCAACACAAGAAGACUAUUUUAUUGAAAUUUGAUUGGAUGUAACAUUUCGGCAGCAUGCAAACUCUACCAUGAACUCUACUAACAAACACUUAAAAUUACAAAAAAACAAACCAAUGAUCAUGUAUAGAAAUUACUAAACUUUAUACCGAAACCUAACAAGAACCAUCAAAAAAAUUAAUAAUAAUUCACAUUUUAUACCUUCAAGACCAUGCCAAAUAAAGAUCACAAGCUAACUUAUUCCAAAACACUAACAAAAGUUUCUAACUUUAUAUCAAACACUAACAAAAUUCAACAACAUCCCUUUACGAGGUAGAGAGGUUGUUCCCGAUAGACCCUCAUCUUAACGGACACAUACCAAAACAGUCUCAAAAACACUAAUAAAAUUCAUAGAAAAGAAGCAUAUCUACUACCUCCGUUUCAUUUUACUUGACCCCUAUACUAAAAGCAGUUCUUUCAAUUUACUUAUCGAAUUUAUGAAAUCAAAAGAAUCUUAUUAUAUUUUAUCAUUUCUACCAUCAGUAUUAAAUAACUACAUAUAUAGUACUAGUACUCUAAUUUAGAGUUCCAGAGCGUCAUAAAUAAGAUUAUUUUCUACAAUACACCUCUAACUAAACAAUCUUAAUGGUGUAUCAAGUCAACGAGGACCAAGUAAAAGAGAAUCUUAUUACAUUUUUCCUUUUCUAUCCUUAGUAUUAAAUACCUACAUAAAGUACUACUACUAGUCUAAUUUUUAAAAUUCCAACACAUCAUAAAUAAGGUUAGCACAGUAAAAUACACAUUUAACUAAACAUUUAUUAAUGGAUAUGCCACGUCAACAUGGGACAAGUAAAAUAAAACUGAGUGAGUACAAAACUACACAAGUCACAUUAGAUCAAACAAAAACUAAAAAUACCAAAAUUAUGAAAUCCAUUCAAAAGUACACAAAUAACCCAAAAAUACAUAAACAACGUAUACAUAUAACAUAAAGGUGAAAAAACAAGAUCUGGGGUUACUAUAAAAAUGAAAAUUACCUGCCUGAAAUUCCUUAAUUGAUUGAUAAAAUCACCAAAGAACUUUAAUCAAUAACCAAAAAAAUUGAUUCUUAAAAAAAAAAUGAACAAGGGUCUUGAAGAAAAUUAAAAAUUUGAAAAAAAAUGGGCUCUAAAUAUUUUCUGUUUACCCUUUUAUUUUUUCGUGUAUGUUAAUGAAGACGCAAAAGAGGAAAGUGAAGAAAAAAUUUGCUGACGAAAUUGGCAAGUAGACGGUUGUCGGGUGACGUGGAAUUUUUUAUUCAUUUUUAAUUAAUUUUCCUUAAUUUGUCAGAUGAAUUAUAUGAGUACUAAUUGCGCGUGUUUGACUUUGUGUUUACCUAUGUUUCUUUUGUUAGGGGUUGUUUAGUUGCCAAAGAAUUAUUCGGUUAUAAUUAAUGUUGAAAUUAACUAUUUCGAAAUUAGUUAUUCUAUUGUAUAUAUAGGAUAAUUUAUUUAUUAUUAUGAUGUAAAUAGUGGAAUAAAUAAUUUCAGGACUAAGUUAUACCUCAAACUAAAUACGUGAUAAAAUAAUUCUACAUUUUAUUUUGGUACUACUAUACCUUAUACCUUACACCAAGUGAUUCUUUCGGGUAUUGAAAAAUCGACAAAAUACUGAGUGAAAUUUUAUAAGUGAAGUCUAGGAGGGUAGAAAUUGUGUAGACCUUAUUGUUACCUUGUGGAGGUAGAGAGGUUGAUUAUUCUGUUACAGUAUUGAAAAAUCAACAACGUACUGAGUGAAAUUUUACAAGUAAAGUCUGGGAGAGUAGAAUCUAUGUAGACCUUGUGGAGGUAGAAAGGUUGUUUAUUCUGUUACGAAAUUGAAAAAUCGAUAACAUACUAAUUAAGUGUGAGUUUACAAGUAAAGUUUGGGAGGGUAGAGCCUUUGUAUAUCUUAUCGUUAAAUUACUUUGUGGAGGUAGAGAGGCUAUAUUCUGUUACAAAAUUGAAAACUCGACAACAUACUGAGUGAAGUUUUUAAAGUGAAGUCUAGGAGUAUAGAGUCAAUGUAGACCUUAUCAUUCAUUACCUUGUGGAGGUAGAAAUAGAAAUGUUGUUUAUUCUAUUACAAUAUUGAAAGCGACAACAUACUGAGUGGAAUUUUACAAGUGAAGUCUUGAAGGGUAGAGUCUAUGUAGACCUUAUUUACUUUGUGGAGGUAUAGAGGUUAUUUAUUCUAUUACAGUAUUGAAAACUCGACAACAUAUUGAGUGAAAUUUUACAAGUAAAGUUUGGGAGGAUAAAGUCAGUGUGUAUCUUGUCGUUACCUUAUGGAGGUAGAGAGGUUGUUUAUUCUGUUACAGUAUUAAAAAAUCGAUAACAUACUCAAUGAAAUUUUACAAUUUAAGUCUGGGAGAGUAGAGUCUAUGUAGACCUUGUGGAGUUAGAGAGGUUGUUUAUUUUGUUACGAUAUUGAAAAAUCGACAACAUACUGAGUGAAAUUUUAUAAGUGAAGUCUUGGAGGGUAGAAUCUAUGUAGACUUUAUCGUUAUUCUGUUUAUUCUGUUAUAGUAUUGAAAACUCGACAACAUACUCAGUGAAAUUUUACAAGUGAAGUCUGGAAGGAUAGAGCCUGUGUAUAUCUUAUUGUUACCUUAUGGAGGUAGAGAGGUUGUUUAUUCUGUUACGAUAUUAAAAAAUCGACAGCAUACUGAAUGAAAUUUUACAUGUGAAGUCUAGAAGGGUAGAAUCUGUGUAUAUCUUAUCGUUUUCUUGUGGCGGUAGAGAGGUUUUUUAUUCUGUUAUGGUAUUGAAAACUCGACAACAUACUGAGUGAAAUUUUACGAGUAAAGUCUGGGAGGGUAAAGUUUGUGUAUAUCUUAUCGUUACUUUGUAUAGAUAGAGAAGAUAUUCAUUCUGUUAUGAUACUGAAAACUUGACAACAUACUGAGUGAAAAAUUUCAACUGAAGUUUAGGAGGGUAGAGUCCAUGUAGACCUUAUCGUUACCUUGAGGUAGAGAGGUUGUUUAUUCUAUUACGGUAUUAAAAAAUUGACAACAUACCGAGUGGAAUUUUUAAGUGAAUUUUGGGAGGGUAGAGCCUAUAUAGACCUUAUUAUUACCUCGUGGAGGUAGAGAGGUUAUUUGUGAAAGAUCCUCAACUCAAGUACAACAUAUCCAGAUACAAAAAAGAAGAAAAUACUAAAGAAAAUGUAGCAACCAACGAGAAAACAGUGCAAGGCCUAUAAGAGAGAAAUAAGAAUAAUAACGUAAUAGCGCGAUGAUCGAAACACAAUGAACAACAAAUUAUGAUAAAUACCAUAAGUAGAAACAACGACGAACCAAGAAUUUAGAGGUUAUGGGUGUCUCGGUGAGGAUUUGAACACAUAUUGACAUCCAAAGCUUUAAAUUUUCACUUGCUAAACCAAUUUUUAUAUAUUUCUUAUCUAACUAUACCUAUUCUGCGUGGGUUUCACCGGGGCUUGAAGCACCAGAAAAGUGCACCUAGAUCCGUCCCUGCCAGAGAAUACGAUACGACCGCUAAUACAACAACAAAUGCAACAAGCAUAAACCCUCGACAAACAAUACAACACUCCUACCUACUAAUCUUCUGCUCUAAUGUGCAUUCUCCACGCCCUCCUGUCUAAGGUUAUGUCCUUGAUAACCUGAAGUUGCGUCAUGUCCUAUCUAAUCACCUCUCCCCCAUACUUCUUCGGCUUACAUCUACCUCUUCUUCUACCAACUAUAUCCAACUUCUCACGCCUCCUCUCGAUAUUGAAAACUAUGAUUCGAUAAUGUCAGUGUUUGAUUUUUAAGAACGUUAUAUUUAUAAUACGAUGAGUUGAUAAUCAUAGUUUGUUCAACUUCAACUUAUAUGUAAUCAUAUUAUAUAGCAUUAAUUCGAAUUAUACAAAAUAAAAAGUGUAAAAUAUAUCAUGUUAAUACAUUACACAUACAGGAGUAUUCAAAAUGAAGUACAAGCAAUUUCUAGUUAAUCAAUAACAUAAAAAGAGCAUGUCAAUCAACAUGGAAUAAUCAAAAUUCCAAUAUCUAAAAUAAUUAGUUUUGUCUUGAUACUUUUUAUAUAUAUUUAUUGAUAUUAUAAUAGUACAUAUAAAUUGUAUAUCUAAUUAUAUGGUGUGGUUCAAUAUUUGAUAUAUUUUUUUAUAAAUUUAUUCCUAAUACCCAAAAAAAAACUUUAUAUCAACUACGAAAUCAUGAUAUUAAAAGUUUUUAUUAAAUAUAAUAAUUCAGUAUCUACAUAUCAUAUUCGUCCCCAUUUUUUUGGGAAGCGAUUUGAAGUCUUUUUAAAAUAGAAUAUAAAUAUAUAAAGUAUGUUCGAUUUAGUACAUUUCUCCAACAAUUAAAAUUGAAGUGUUCGCUUAGCUUCUUCGUCACAUAAUUAAUUACCAGAUCUAUGCCUACUUAAAGUUGAAACUCAUUUAAUAAUAAACUUAGCUCGUAUAUUACAAGUUAUGCUCAAAACUCUAUACCAGAAAAAUGCCUACGCACUAAUAUAUAAAUCCCUCUUCUUCCUCAAAUGCAUUUCCAUAUCAAUUUUGCAAAUAUUUUUCUCCGAUUUUUUUUCAUACAACAUUAUUUAGAUUUUUUAUGUUAUACUUGAUCUUAACAGUACCAGAGUUAAAAAAUUAUCUAUUAUAUCAGAGCGUGCGCUCGCGCACACACACACAUAUAUAUUUUCAAUGAUUUGCAUCAAGAAAACAAAAGGAAAUAAAUAUAAAUCAAUCAAAUCGAUAAAUCUAUAAAAUUCUUACCUUAGUGAAAAAGGGAUUUGAAGAAUAAUUGAACUGAUAAAAUAGGUGGAAACGGACUUCUCUGUGCUAUUUUUGUCAACAUCUUUUGAAGUGAACGAUGAAUAAACUAAUAUAAUGUUGAAUAGGAAGGUAAUUUAUCAAAAGACAAAAGAGUUUCUAAAUCUGAUGUGAUAAUAAUGAUAUUGAGGAGAGUUAUACUAUGUACAACUACGAUUAAUCUAUUCAACUAAAUUAUCAAAAGACAAAAAGGUCCCUAAAUUCGAUGUAAUAAUAAGGAUAUUUAGGAGAAUCAUAGUGUGUAUAGAUUAUAAUUGAAUUCUUCAGCUAAAUUAUCAAAAAUAAUUUAUUUGGAGAUUUAUUUUUUAAAAUCAAAAAUAUCUUUGUUAUUUUAUGCUUGAUUAGUAUGUACAGCUACGACUGAUCUGUUCAGUUAAAUUAUGAGAAAACAUAAAGGCCCCUAAAUUUGAUGUAAUAAUAAGUACAUUUAGAAGAAUCAUAGUGUGUACACAUUAUAACUGAAUUGUUCAGUUAAAUUAUCAAAAUUAAUUUAUUUGGAGGUUCUAUUUCUUUUUAUCAAAAAUAUCUUUAUUAUUUUAUGCUUGAUCAAUAUUUUCAAAAAUGCUUUUAAAAAUCAGAUAUGAAAAUAAAAUAUAAGAUUAUCAUGUAUCUAUCAGUUUCUAAGGUGGCUCACAAAAAUAAUUAGACACUUAUUUUUUUUAAUAAAAUAAACUAACGUUAAAUUUAAUAAGAUAUAAGCAUCAUUUAAAAGAUUGAUACUAUUUAAAUGAAUGAAGGAAUGAAUGAAUGAAUGAACUGGAUUAAUAUAAAUAUUGUAAUGAAGUUUUUACAUGAUAUAGCUAAUAUUGUAUUUACUCUUUAUAACUAUAUUUUUUCUUUUUUUGUAUUUUUGCUUGUACUAGUUUUAUCGCACGUGACUUGCACGUAUAAUGUCUGAUCAUUUAAAAUUAAAUAAUUUUAUCUAUUUUGGAGAUUUUUAAUGAAGUGUAAAAGUUUAAAUUAAAUGAUAUUAUAGUAAUAUAUAUAAUCUGUAUAUCUAAUUAUAUGUUACUGUACAAUAUUUGAUAUUUUUUUAUAAAAUUAAAAUAUUAUCAAAUACAAUAUUGUGAUAUCAAAAAUUUUGUUUCAGUAUGAUAAUUCGAUAUCUAUAUAUCAUGUUCGCUCCCACUUUUUCAUGAAGCGAUUUGAAGUACAUUAUUAAAGUACUUAAUUUUCUUUUAAAAAUAGAAUAUAAAUACAUCAAGUUUCUUCGAUUUAGUACAUUUCUCUAACAAUCAAAAUUGAAGUGGCCGCUUAGCUUCUUCAUCACUUAAUUAAUUAUCAGAUUUAUGCAUACUUAGAGUUGAAACUCAUUUAAUAAUAAACUUAACUCGUAUAUCACAUGUUGUGCUUUUACUAAAAGCAAAACUCUAAACGAGAAAAAUGCAUAUGCACUAAUAUAUAAAUCUCCUCUUCUUUCCUCAAAUUCAUCUCCAAAUAGAUUUUGCAAACAAUCUUCUUUGAUUCUUUGUUAGAUUUUUUAUAUUAUACUCGAUCUUGACAGUUACAAACAACAGGAAAUAAAUAAUUAUAUAUUUUAUUAGCAUCAUCAAGAAAAUAAAAGAAAAUAAAUAUAAACCAAUCAAGUCAAGAAAAUUAUAAAAUUAUUACCUUCAUGAAAAAGGAAUUUGACGGAUAAUUGAAGCGAUAAACCAAUGAGAUGUUAAAUAAUAGAGUAAUUUAUCAGAAGACAAAUGAAUUUCUAAAUCUGAUGUGAUUAUAAAAACAUCAAGGAGAGUUACAGUAUGUACAACUAUGAUUAAUCUAUUCAGUUAAAUUAUGAGAAGACAAAAAGGUCCCUAAAUUUGAUGUAAUAUUCAGGACAUUUAGCAGAAUCAUAGUGUAUACACAUUAUAACUGAAUUGUUCACCUUACAAAAUUAUCAAAAUUAAUUUAUUUGGAGGUUCUUUUUCUUUUUAUCAAAAAUAUCUUUAUUAUUUUAUGCUUGAUUAGUAUGUACAGCUACGACUGAUCUGCUUAGUUAAAUUAUGAGAAGACAAAAGGUCCCUAAAUUUGAUGUAAUAUGGACAUAUAGGAGAAUCAUAGUAUGCACACAUUAUAACUGAAUUGUUCAUCUAAAUUAUCAAAAUUAAUUUAUUUGGAGGUUUUUUUUUAAUCAAAAAUAUCUUUGUUAUUUUAUGCUUGAUUAGUAUGUACAGCUACGACUGAUUUGUUCGGUUAAAUUAUGAGAAGACAAAACGGUCCCUAAAUUUGAUGUAAUAAGGACAUUUAGGAGAAUCAUAGUGUGUACACAUUAUAACUGAAUUGUUCAGCUAAAUUAUCAAGAUUAAUUUAUUUGGAGGCUUUUCUCUUUUUAUCAAAAAUAUCUUUGUAAUUUUAUGCUUGAUCAAUAAUUUUCAAAAAAUGAUUUUAAAAAUUAAAUAUGAAAAUAAAAUAUAUGCAUAAGAUUAUCAUGUAUUUAGGUGGCUCACAAAAAUAGUUAGACACUUAUUUUUGUUGACUAGUUUAACCACACAUGUAAUAGUUGAUUAUUUAAAAUUAAAUAAUUUUAUCUAUUGCGGAGAUUUUAAAUUAAGUGUAAAAUUUUUAAAUCACUUUUUAAAAAUUCUUCACACUUUAAUAUAAUAAUAUAAACAUAAAUAUAUAUUUUUGUGUAAAUACAUAUAUAUUUUACCACCAAAAUUUUCAAGUGAUUGAUGAUAUUUUCUAUUUUUAAAGACAAAUUCUUACAAAAUCAUUGAUUACAUUUUUAUUAAGUACUUAAAACUUUUAAAAAUUGAAUAAUUCUUAUUUUUUAAGUAUUCUAACACUUCUAUAUUUAUUUCUAGAUUUUUUAAAUCUUUUAAAAUUAAAUUUAAUUGAUUUAGAAAUCAUAAACCAAUGAAAAAAUUAUUAAUAGUCAUCAAUUCUGAUGACUUCUAAUAAGGAAAGGUUUUACCAUUAAUAUAUUUAAUUAAUUUUUAACUCUAAAAUAUUUUUAAAAAAUAGUAAAAAGACAAUUUUGUGUAAAGCAAAGACUUUUGAAAGGUAAAAAGUUCAAACAACAUUUCUAAGAUCCUUCAUAUUUUAAUAUAUUAUAGAUAAAAUAAAUUAAUGUUAAAUUUAAUAAGAAAUAAGCAUCAUUCAAAAGAUUGAUACUAUUUAAAUGAAUGAAUGAGCUUGUGUAAUAUGAAUAUUGUAAUAGUGAAUUUUUUUCAUGAUAUAGCUAAUAUUGUAUUUACUCUUUAUAACUAUAGCUUUUUAAAAUUACAAUUUAAUUAGUAUAUUAAAAAUACUUUUUGACCUUUUUUACUAUAAUUUUGCAUUUUAAUGGAAGAAAUUUUUUGUCAAUUUCUGUAUUUAUGUGUCUUCACUUUAAUUUUAUACUGCAUAAGCUUUUUGUGUAUAUUUUUUUUUUUUUUUUUUUUUUUUUUUUUUUUUUUUUUUUUUAUUAUAAAGGAGGUGUUUUUUGGCAAUUACUAUAUUUUGUAUUUUGCCUUGCUUGUACAAUAUAUUUUUGUUGUUUGUAUCCUUCUAUACACCUUUGUAUUUUUAUAUUUCCACUUUCGUGUAUCAAGCAAAAUUAAGUGAAUGCGUACAACCUAUAUAUUGUGAAUGCAUCAUUAAGAUUGUAUGCAUAGAUACAAUUAUUAGAGCGAAUAAAUACAAGUGAUACAAUUAUUAGAACGAAUAAAUACAAGUGAUACAAACUAAGUAGUAACAAUUGAUACAGUACAAUAAAAUGAAUAUAAGUGAAAUCAGAAAGGAUUGAUACAGUCUCAUGUAUUUUGUUGCUUAUAUAUUUGUACAUACCCAAACGAUAUUUAAUGAUACAACCUAAAUGCGCAUAUGAAUACACCAGAUACAAUUGUUUGUAUAUCGAAGUGAACUUAUAAAUAGUUAGCGAUAGUUCUGUAGGAAACUCAAACAUCCCUCAAUAAAUAAAAUUUUUUGUAUUGAUACAACGCGUAUAUGAAGUGUAUAUAAAAGGUGCACUAAUAAAAUCGUAUAUAUAAUCGAUAUUGUAUAUGAAGUGAAUAAUCUAUUUGUUAUAUAGUGUAUAAUAUACAUUGUUUACUAUAAUAUAUGUUUUGAUUUAUAUAGUUAUUUCAUUGUCAAUAUGUCACCAGGAUUACUAUUUACUAGGUGGCUUAGCCGUGCUACGAUAUAUGUAAUUUCAACAUUUAAUUAAAACCUUCAUUUAUUUAGACUAACCAAACACUUUAAGAAAACACUUUCACUUAUACAAAACAAAAAAAACAUGAAAAGUUUAGUAUAUGAAAGUCCGAUUUAGGAUUUCAAAUUGUGAUUUUUUUUUUCUAAAAAAUAAAAUUUAGCCUAUGAAUUUACUUUUUACAAAAAAGUUGUAAUUUUAAAUUAUAUAAAGAAAAACUCAUGCUUCUCGUUUUGUCAAAUAAUAGCUAGUAUUAUAUAAUAUUGUUGACUUAUUGGACUAAUAAAUCUUUAUAAAAUUAUGGGUGUGUUCAAUAAUUGAUAAAACAUUGAUUGGCUGUAUGAACCACAGAUUUCCAGGUUCUCCAAAAUCUCCUUUUUCCCAUGUAUUUGUAUUAGGAAACCCAUUACAUUAGAUGCUUUUCUUUUUUUCAGAUAACUUUGACAAGUGUUGCAUUGUUUACAAAUUCUGCAAAGUAGAAGACCUAAAACAGGAAUCAUAACUAAAGAAAGAGAGAUGGAAGUGGAUGAUAGCAAAGGUAUGGUUUGUGUAACUGGUGGAACAGGAUAUCUAGCGUCAUGGCUGAUAAUGAAGCUUCUUCAACAUGGCUACUCAGUAAAUGCUACCAUAAGGUCCACUCAAGGUUAAUGUUUCCCCCCACUGAAUUAAUCUUUUUAUGUAUUUUCCAUAAAACUUUGAAUGAAUUUAUACAUCACAAAACAGAUGUUAGCUACCUCACUAACUUGCCCGGUGCAUCUCAAAGGCUACGGAUAUUUAAUGCUGAUCUAGACAAACCAGAAAGCUUUAGUGAAGCUAUUAAAGGAUGCGUUGGAGUAUUUCACAUUGCUCAUCCGAUGAAUUUCGGGGAUCAAGAAAUUGAAGACAAAAAGAUAAGAAGAACAGUUGAUGGUGUUUACACUUCCAGCAGAACAGCAGUUGUGUUUCAUGAUAAAGGUUUAGACACAGUGAACGAGAGCUCAUGGUCUGACAUACAUGUCAUGAAAACAUUAAAACCUAUAUCCGCAGCUUCGUAUGUGAUUAGCAAGACUUUAGCGGAAAAGGCUGCUCUUGAAUUUGCUGAGAAGCAUGGAUUAGAUCUGAUGACUGUUAUUCCUAGUUGGAUACAUGGUCCCUUCUUGAGUACUCAUUUCCCGGAGCCAUUACGAUCAGCCAUGGCAAUGAUUUAUGGUAUGCCCCUUCUGCUCUUUCUUCAACCCCUACAACUUUCUCAUGUCAAAUCAUCAAGGACGUUACGUUUUUAGUUUCUAAUGCUCACCUCUGCAAUCCAUUUCCUAACUUCCUCAACUAUAGCGAGCAAAAUGUCGGAUAAAGAAGUAAUUCAUUGAUAUAAACAGCGUUAUUUUACCUAGAGAAAAUAUUCUUGCAAUACAUUUUGAGAAGGUAUAUAUAUGUUUGUUCGCUUUACAUACAACUGCUGGAAGUAAGAGCAUUUUUCUUUUUCUACACAGCUUUUGAACACGUCUUUCUUCACUCACAUUCUUCUUCAUAGAUGAUUUAGUUGAUUUCGUCAUGAUUCCCCAUUUAGGAUUUGGUUUCAUGUUGUGGCAUCUUCAUUCUUUCCAAGACAUUUCCAGUUUCUAAAAAGCAUCACAUCUUUUUUCCACUGUUUUAUGUGUAUUGGUUCUGAGGGUGUCAAGAUAGUUGUAUUCAAAGGCUUAAUCACAAGACAAGGAACCUGCUCUAAAUAAGUAUUUCUUUUUGGCUUGUCUCCUGAAUUACACAGGUAACCAGGAAAAUUGCAUGAAGUACCCCUCGCUUACCCCAUUCGUGCAUGUAGAUGAUGUUGCCAGUGCGCACAUAUUCCUUCUAGAGAAUAGUAAAGCACAAGGGAGGUAUAUUUGCUCUGCUGUGGAAGUUACACCAGAUGAGCUGUUUAAGUUCCUCUCAGCUAGGUAUCCUGAAUAUCGAAUACCUAAUGUCGAGUGAGUUCCCAUUACGCUCCUUUUUUCUUUUUAUACGUUAAAAAGGAAAAACAAGGUUAUUCAACUUCUUUGCAGUUCCUUGAGGGAGAUUGGAGGGAUUAAGCACCCUAGCCUUUCAUCAAAGAAACUUUUGGAGGCUGGAUUCAAGUACAAGUAUGGACUUGAGGAAAUGUUUGAUGGUGCAAUUGAAUGCUGCAAACAAAAGGGUCUACUCUAGUUUCUACUCUAUAGCAGAGCCUAUUUAUUCUAUUACGGUAUUGAAAACUCGAGUGAAAUUUUACAAGUGAAUUCUGGGAGGAUAAUAGAGGAAAUUAACUGUUUGUAAAUGUUUGUUUGCACGCUGAUUUGCUGAACUCCCAUUAGUUGAGAUUGAGAGAAUGUGGCUGAUAAGUUUCAUGUGCCUAAAGUAUGUUCAUGUGCAUUCAAUUGACUUCACUUGGUUUUUUGUCAGACUACAAGUCUGCUAUUCUUUGAAUUGUUUCCUGUCAGCUCUAAAUUUGAAACUAAAACAAAACAUCUCUGAGAUCUUAUAUGUCAUAUUGAAUGUUAGUAUAUUCUUUAUUUAGAUAGUUAAUGUAUAUAAACGGUAGCAUUCUUGAUUUAUGUCGAGCAUAUACUAAAUUUCUGCUUUCCUGUUGCGGGAGUUACUUGAUUUAGGUGAAACAGUAGGACCUGAAAGUUGAUUAUUUUUUGGCCCUGUGAUGGAAGCUGGCAAUUUGAACUGGAGGUCAAUGACUUAAUUCAACAGUAGAAAUAGGAGUUACUUGAUUAUGUUUUUGCUAUGUAUUCAAAUUGUAAGAGAUAACAGAGCAGUAGCGCAGCGGAAAUAGAGAUUUUGACAUACCUCCAGCCAUUGUCGAAGUCCGUCGGAGCGUUGGCGUGGUCGGAAUUUGUUUUCCCCUUACGGUGAAUCUUCUAAGCACUCAGAAUAUCUUAUUGUAGAUGGUGUGAAUUUUUGAGAGAUUUUCUAUGCUUAGGGACCAUCCAGAAUUCCUCUUUUAUACUGCGCGUCCAUCAAAAGUAGUUGGGAAGUUCUUUUAGAUAAGGGAGUGGCAAAAAUUAUAGAGAAUCUUGAAUUUGAAAUUCAAGUUAAGUGGAUAAGUGGGAAGUUACGGGCCAUAAAGAAAAUGCCAACAUUCUCCCACUUGGUCCGUAUAUUUUCAUCCCAUAUGUGAAGCAUAAGACAUGAAUCAUGAUGAUAGUUCCUCUAAAGAGAGCAAUAACUUUCAUGUAUCACAAUGUGUUAUGCCUCUAAGCCUCAACCCUUAUUACUUAAUGAAUAAACUCAAUAUUUAUUCUAGGUCCAUACUUCAGUGACAUUCCUCAAAACAAACUGAAUGUGCACAUAGUUUCAAAUAAGAGAAAUAUCAUAUAAAAUAGAGUUUCAUUGAAAUUCAUUGUUACAACGAUACAUAGUAGAACUAAGUCCCAUUGUGACUACAUGAUCCUUAAAUUUCUGCGGUGGCAUGCCUUUAGUUAAAGGAUCAGCUAACAUCACUUCAGUGCUGACAUGUUCAAUGACCACCUUCUUAUCUUUAACACGUUCUCUUAUGGCUAGAUACUUGAUGUCGAUAUGCUUGCUACGAAUACCACUUUUGUUAUUCUUAGCCAAAAACACAAUAGCUUAAUUGUCACAAUAUAACCUUAAUGGCUUAGAGAUAGAGUCAACAAUUCUCAGCCCAGAAAUGAAACUCUUUAACCAUACACCAUGUAAGGUAGCCUCAAAAUAAAAAAUGAACUCAGCCUCCAUAGUAGAAGUAGUAAUCAAAGUCUGUUUGGCACUCCUCCAAGAUAUAGCUCCACCAGCUAACAUAAAAAUGUAUCCAGAAGUUGAUUUUCGUGAAUCAACACAGCCAGCAAAGUCUGAAUCAGAGUAACCAAUGACUUCCAAGUCAUCUAAUCGUUUGUACAUAAGCAUGUAAUCUUUCGUCCCUUGAAGAUAUCUCAAGACUUUCUUUGCAGCUCUCCAGUGGUCAAGACCUGAAUUACUCUGAUAUCUUCCUAACAUUACAACAGCAAAUGCUAUGUCAGGUCUUGUACAAACCUGAGCAUACAUCAAGCUUUUGAUAGCAGAAGCGUAUGGAAUGCCUUUCAUUUGUUCCCUCUCAAGAUUGUUUUUCGGGCAUUGAUUCAAGUCGAACUUGUCACCCUUAACAAUAGGAGCUACACUUGGUGAACAAUUUUUCAUUCGAAACCUCUCUAAAAUUUUAUUGAUAUAGGCUUCUUGAGAUAAACCUAAGAUACCUUGAUGUCUAUCUCGAUGAAUCUUAAUGCCAAUGACAUAAGACGCAUCACCCAUGUCUUUUAUAACAAAACUUUUAGAGAGAAAUUGUUUCACCUCAUGUAUCAUUCCCUUAUUAUUGGAUGCAAGUAAGAUAUCAUCCACGUAUAGAACUAGAAAGCAUAUUUUACUCCCACUGACUUUUUUGUAUAUACAUUGAUCCAUAAUGUUCUCAACAAAGUUGAAUGAAGAGAUGACAUUGUGAAAUUUCAAAUACCAUUGACGGGAGGCUUGUUUUAGUCCAUAUAUGGAUUUCUUUAACUUACAUACUAAUUGCUCACCUUCACUAGAGGAGAAACCUUCAGGUUGUUUCAUAUAAACAUCUUCCUCUAGAUCACCAUUGAGAAAUGCGGUUUUCACAUCCAUCUAUUGUAAUUCUAAGUCAAAAUGGGCUACUAAUGCCAAUAUAAUGUGCAAGGAAUCCUUUUUCGACACAGGAGAAAAUGUCUCCGUAUAGUCAAUUCCUUCCUUUUGAGUGAAUCCUUUAGCAACAAGUCUUGAUUUAUAUCUUUCACUAACUUUCUCGUAUAUACAUUGAUCCAUAAUGUUCUCAACAAAGUUGAAAGAAGAGAUGACAUUGUGAAAUUUCAAAUACCAUUGACGGGAGGCUUGUUUUAGUCCAUAUAUGGAUUUCUUUAACUUACAUACCAAUUGCUCACCUUAACUAGAGGAUAAACCUUCAGGUUGUUUCAUAUAAACAUCUUCAUAUAAGCUGCCACGUGGCAAGACUGUUUUUAAAAACCAUCUGUUAAAAAGUAAUGGCAUGGAUGGGCCGGGUUUUGUAACGGCGAUGGCAUAAAUUAACCCAACUUUUAACGAAUGACAUAAAUAAUCCAUUUCUGAUAGUUCAGUGUCAUAUUUGAGCCUUUUCCCUAUUCUUUAUUUAGAUAGUUAAUGUAUAUAAAUGGUAGCAUUCUUGAUUGGGAAAAGGUUCAAAUAUGCCACUGAACUAUCAGAAAUGGCUCAUUUAUGUCAUCCGUUAAAAGUUGGGCUCAUUUAUGCCAUCUCCGUUACAAUGGCUCAUCCAUAAUAUUACUUUUAACAGCCGGUUUUUAGAAAACAACUUUGCCAUGUGGCGGCAUAUUAGUGUUGGGUCAUGGGCCUUUGUCCCUACCUAUAUGGAUAAAAUGAAGUCCAAUUUGGACCAACCUACUUUUGCCCAUAGGCCCAUUACUAUGGGGCAUAUAUAUUGAUCUUUUCAGGUCUUAUUCACCAUCACAACAAGAGAGUUUUCAGCAGCCAAAGAGAGAAAAACAAAGCUGAUUUUGGCACCUAAAUUUCAGCCACAGCUGUCAACUUCAAAUUACGAUUCCUGCUUCGUUUCUUGUCCGAUUGAGCUGAUUUUUGGACUGAUUGUUUCUCUCAUCUCAAUAUUUGAUUAGGAACUGACGGAGCUUGAUUUGGUAGCCUGUAGCUCCUGUUCUUCAUUCCCGAACAGUAGCUACAUUUUUUGUGUUUUCACUCCUUUAUUUCUCUAGUGUUUGGUGCUAUGGUUUAUGUAUUGUUUCUUGUUUUUUGGAACUUGUUUGGUGUCCAUUUUGAAGGAAAAUAUUGUAACUCUUUGGUAAUUAUAGUGGAGGUUUGGUCCCAUAGUUUUUUACUUUUCACACCGAAGGGUUUUCCACGUAAAUUUGGUGUCUUAUGUGAUUGCCUUUGUUCUUGCCCUAUUGCAUUUGUGUGGUAAUUAAUUUGCUACCAUAUUAAUUUGUUUUGCUUGGUUUGCUUGUCUCCUCUUGGUUUAAGUUGAAAGGAAAAGUUUAGUCUUGGGUAUUUUCCGCUGCUACCCUGUCGGGCUCUUUGAUUGUGUGCCCGUCUUUCCUAACAAGUGGUAUCAGAGUGUUGGCUGUUGUUGAUUGUUGAUUUGAAUGAUGGAGGAAAAUAUGAGUAAGAUGGUGUGUUUGAAUGGUAGUAACUAUCAUAUUUGGAAAGGCAAGAUGAAAGAUCUUCUAUUUGUCAAGAAAAUGCAUCUACCUAUGUUUGCAUUUACUAAACCAGAAUCCAUGACAGAUGAGGAUUGGGAAUUUGAGCACUUACAGGUUUGUGUCUAUAUCAGACAAUAGGUUGAAUAUAAUUUUAGAAAUCAUAUUAUGAAUGAAACACAUACUAGAAGUUUGUGGGACAAGCUCGAGACACUUUAUGCUUCGAAUACUGGCAAUAACAAGUUGGUCCUGCUUAAGCAAUUGAUGAAUAUCAGGUAUAAAGAGAGUAGUCCUAUUUCUAAUCAUAUAAAUAAUUUUCAGGGUGUCCUCGACCAGCUGUCUGAAAUGGGUGUAAAGUUUGAUGAAGAAAUUCAGGGACUUUGGAUUCUUAAUACUCUGCCUAACUCUUGGGAAACUCUUCGAGUUUCUUUGACUAAUUCUUCUCCUGUUGGUAUUUUAACUAUGGAAUAUGUUAAGAGUGGUGUCUUGAAUGAAGAGAUGAGAAGAAGAUCUCAGGCCUCAUCUUCUUCAUCGUCACACUCUGAUGUUUUGGUUACUGAACAGAGGGGGAGAAAUAAGUCCAGAGAUUCAAAUGAUAGAGAUAAAAGUAGAAGCAAGUCAAGGUCCAAAUUCAAGAAUGUUACAUAUGACUAUUGCAACAAAAAGAGGCAUAUCAUAAAAUAUUAUUACAAGCAUAAGAGAGAUAUAAGACAACAAAAGAAAGAAGGCAAUAAUGAAAAUUGUGUUGCUGUUGUUGCUAAUGAUGAUAUUCUUGUUGCGUGUGGUGAGAAUGCCAUUAAUCUUGUUUGCGAUGAGUCUAUCUAGUUUGUGGAUUCUGGUGCUACUUCUCAUGUUACGCCAAAGAAGGAAUUAUUUUUUUGUUAUACUCCAGGUAAUUUUGGAAUGUUGAAAAUGGGCAAUAAUGAUGAAGUUAAAGUACUUGUCAUUGGCACUAUUUGUUUGGAAAGUAACAAUGGUUCCAAACUAGUUCUCAAUAAUGUCAAGCAUGCUCCAGAUGUUCAAUUGAAUUUGAUUUUUGUAGGGAACCUUGAUGAUGAAGGUUAUGUUAACACCCUUGGUGCUUGGCAGUGGAAGCUUACUAGAGGUUCGACGAUUAUGGCUCGAGGUGACAAGUUGUCUAACUUGUACGUAUUUCAGGGUUCUACUCCUAGAGGCUUGAUAAACUUGGUGGAGAAUGAUACUUCAUCGGAGUUGUGGCAUAGAAGGUUGAGUCAUAUAAGUGAGAAGGGGAUUGAUAGUUUGGCAAAGAAAAAUUUACUUUCUGGAGUGAAACAAGCAAAGUUGAAGAAGUGUGUUCAUUGCUUAGCCGGUAAACAGAAAAUAAUUUCUUUUCAGAGUCAUCCGCCUUCAAGAAAGCUCGAUUUGCUGGAGUUGGUACAUUCUGAUUUUUGCGGUCCUUUUAAAGUAAGGUCUCAUGGUGGUGGACUUUACUUUGUGACUUCUAUUGAUGAUCAUUCUCGCAAACUCUGGGUAUUUCCUUUGAAGUCCAAGGAACAAGUACUUGAUGUGUUCAAGAAUUUUCAGGCCUUGGUUGAAAGACAGGAAAGAAAUUGAAAUGUAUCCGUUCAGAUAAUGGUGGUGAGUAUAUUGUCCUUUUGAUAGAUAUUGCAGAGAGCAGGGUAUUCGGCAUCAAAAAACUCCUCCAAAGACUCCUCAGUUGAAUGGCUUAGCAGAAAGGAUGAACAGAACACUAGUUGAGAGGGUUAGAUGUAUGCUUUCAGAUGCUAAGCUGCCACAUUCCUUUUGGGCAGAAGCACUUAAUACAGUUGUCUAUAUUAUCAAUUUAUCUCCUACUGUUGCUUUGAAUGGUGAUAUCCCUGAAAGAGUUUGGUCUGGUAAGAAUGUUUCUUAUGAUCAUCUUAGAGUCUUUAGGUGUAAAUCUUCUGUUCAUGUUCCUAAGGAUGAAAGGUCAAAGUUGGAUGUUAAAACUAGACAGUGUAUCUUCAUUGGUUAUGGUCAAGAUGAAUUUGACUAUCGCUUUUAUGAUCUAGUUGAGAAGAAACUUGUUAGAAGCCAUGAUGUUGUGUUCUUUGAAUACCAAACAAUUGAAGAUUUUGACAAAUCUAAGAAGGUUGAUUCUCAGAGUAGACAGAGCCUAGUUGAUGUUGAUCCAGUUUCUUUGACUACUGCUCCUGAAGGAAAUCUUCAUGAUGAUGAAAAUCAAGUUGAUAAUAAAGAUGAUGAUCAUGUUUAGAAUAACCAGCAAAAAGUUGUUGAUGCUCCAGUGCAAGUUGAUAUGGUUGAUCAGCAACCAGUUGUUGAUUAUCCAGAGAGUUCUCUCAGACGAUCUACAAGAGAGAGAAUACCUUCAUCUCGUUAUUCUUCCAAUGAGUAUGUACUCUUGACUGAUGGGGAAAAACCUGAGAGUCUUGAUGAGGCCAUCGAAAUUGAAGAAAAAGAAAAGUGGUUUGAUUCUAUGGAAGAUAAAAUUAAAUCUUUGCAAGAUAAUCAUACCUUUAAUUUGGUUAAGCUGCCUAAAGACAGAAAAGCUUUGAAAAAUAGGUGGGUUUUUUGGGUGAAGCAUGAAGAUGGUAAUCCAAUUCCACGGUACAAAGCUAGAUUGGUUGUGAAGGGAUUUAACCAGAAAAAGGGAGUUGAUUUUGAUGAGAUAUUUUCUCUGGUUGUAAAGAUGUCAUCCAUUCGUGUGGUUCUAGGCUUAGCUACAAGUCUAGAUUUAGAGGUUGAGCAAAUGGAUGUUAAAACUGCUUUUCUCCAUAGUGACUUAGAUGAAGAAAUUUAUAUGGAGCAACCCGAAGGUUUUGAAGUCAAGGGAAAAGAGAAUUAUGUUUGCAAAUUGAAGAAGAGCUUGUAUGGUUUGAAAUAAGCUCCUAGGCAGUGGUAGAGGAAGUUUGAUUCCUUUAUGAGUCAGCAGGUCUUCAAGAAGACUACUUCAGACCAUUGUGUUUUUGUGCAAAAAUUCUCUGAUGGUGACUUUAUUAUUGUGUUGCUUUAUGUUUAUGACAUGCUUAUUGUUGGUCAUAAUGCUUGCAGGAUUCAAAAGUUGAAGCAAGAGUUGAGUAAGUCUUUUUCUAUGAAAGACUUAGGACCAGCAAAGCAGAUUCUUGGCAUGCAGAUUGUCCAUGACAAAAGGCCAAGAAGUUGUGGUGAUCACAAAAGAAGUGUAUUCAGAAAGUACUUCGAAGGUUUAACAUGGACAAGGCUAAGGUUGUCAGUACACCUUUAGCUAUGCACUUCAAGUUAAGCACGACGCAGUAUCCUUCCAGUGAUGAUGAGAAGAAAGAUAUAAAGAAAGUUCCUUAUGCUUCAGCUGUUGGUAGUUUGAUGUAUGCAAUGGUUUGCACAAGACCGGAUAUUGCUCAUGCUGUUGGUGUUGUUAGUCGUUUUCUUUCUAAUCUGGGAAGAGAACAUUGGAAUGCUGUGAAGUGGAUUAUGAAAUAUCUUUGUGGCACUUCUAGUCUGAGUUUGUGUUUUAGUACAGGGAAGCUUAUUCUUUGUGGUUAUACUGAUUCAGAUAUGGUCGGUGAUGUUGAUACUCACAAGUCUACUUCAGGGUAUUUGGUUACUUUUGGAGGGGGAGCUGUGUCUUGGCAAUCUAGAUUGCAAAAAUGUGUUGCUCUAUCUACUACAGAAGCUGAGCUUAUUGUUGCCGUUGAAGCUUGUAAAGAAAUUCUUUAGAUGGAGAGAUUCUUGGGGGAACUUGGUUGUGCUCAAGAGAGGUAUGUGAUUCAUUGCGACAAUCAAAGUGUCAUACAUCUUAGCAAGAAUUCUACAUUUCAUGGUUUUUCCUCUCUUUGAUUGAUCAUGUGUUAACUAACUCAAUUUCCUUUGAUUGCCUAUAUGUUGUUUUUAUAUCUCUUUCACUUCGUUAGUCAUGUAUUAAUGUCCUUUAUUUUUCUUACUUUGCAUGAGAAUUUGUUGGAGUCCAAAUAGACUCUUUACAUUCCUUAAUGGGCCAAUUAGGCCCAUCCAUUGAGUCAAGCCCAGAAGUGAGUCUAAGGUUGCAUAGUGUGCGAAUGCAAGGAGUCGAAAGAAGAAGAAUGGGUUAAGAUCCCAUUUUUGAAGUGGAAAAGAGACUAGAAAGUCUCUAUUUAUUUACAUAUUGAUUUAUUGUUGCCUUUAUUUGUUUAUUUAUUCAUUUUUUUUAGUUCAUUCAUUCGGGCCAAGAAGCCAAAGUUGUAUUUAAUACAGGUGGAGCAAGAUUCAAGUAAAACAGGUGGAGCAAAAUUCAAGUAAAAGGCUUGAAAACUAGAUUAGGACAGGUGAAAUGGGUCAAAGGCCCAAUUAGACUAGGACAGGUUUUGUUGGUUUGGGCCCAAUGGCCUAAAUCGUUUACUUUCUCCUCCCUUUUCCCGUUUAUGUGUUUACUUGCUUAUUUCAUUUGUGUAGACUUAGUUAAAAUCCCUAUUAGAUCGUCUAAAACUAUUUUUACACAAAUCUUUUUUCUAAAAAUCAAUCACUUUUCAACAAAUUAAUCUUUUAGAAGUUAAUCAAAGAUGAUUUUCAAAUAGUCCGGAUAACCGCAAGUUAGCGGAUGUUUUAGGUGCCUAACACCUUGUUUUAGGUGCCUAACACCUUCCUAAAACGUUAAUAGGAAUCUCUUAACUUAAACGAUUUUUCUGUUUUAAAUCGUUUGAAGUAACUCUCUAAAGGUUUCUUAAUUCCUUUUCAAAAUUAAGUGGCGACUCUUUAAAAGUCAAAAUGUUUUCCGUAAACAAAUAUGACUCAUGAAUUUGCAAAACUCAUGAGCAGUGAAUUUGAGAUGAGCAUGAUGGGAGAACUAAAUUAUUAAUUGGGUUUACAAUUAAGACAAUCAGCAUUAGGGACAAUGAUCCACCAACAGAAGUAUUUCAAAGAGCUUCUCAAAAGAUUUUCCAUGGAAGAAGCAAAGGAGAUCAGUACUCCUAUUGCCACUACCAUAAAGCUGGACAUGGAUGAAACAGGUUCAGAUGUAGAGAAAAAGAUGUAUAGAGGUAUGAUAGGGUCACUCCUGUACCUCACUGUAAGUAGGCCUGAUAUUGUGUUUAGUGUAGGGUUAUGUGCCAAGUUUCAAGCUAAGCCUAAGGAAUCACAUCUAAAAUCAGUGAAAAAAAAUCUUUAGAUACUUGAAAGGAACAAGUGACCUUGGAUUAUGGUAUCCUAAAGGUGGUAAAUUUGAUUUGCUAGGAUAUUCUGACGCUGAUUAUGCAGGAUAUCUGGUGGACAGGAAAAUCAUUACAGGUAUGGCACACUUCUUGGGAUCAUGUUUAAUUACCUGGUCCACAAAGAAGCAAAAUUCAGUUGCUUUGUCCACUGCUGAAGCUGAAUAUAUAGUUGUUGGGUCUUGUUGUGCUUAGUUGUUAUGGAUUAAACAACAACUUAUGGAUUUUGUUAUAGAUGUUGGUUGUGUUCCCAUUUUUUGUGAUAAUACAAGUGCCAUUAGCAUAGCUAAAAAUCCUGUUCAACAUAAAAGGACCAAGCAUAUUGAUAUUAGACAUCACUUUCUUAGAGAUAAUGUUGAAAAAGGUCAUGUAUCAAUUAUGUUUUGUUCAACUGAGGAAUAAAUUGCUGACAUAUUUACUAAGGCCUUAAGUAGAGAACAUUUUGAAAGAAAUAGGUUAGCUUUGGGGAUGAUUAAAAUUGUAUAAAUCUCCCCCAAUGAUUGACUAGAAAAGACUGUACUUAAGUGAUAGUUGAUUAAUUCAGUCUUACACAUUUAGUUGUAUAUCCUAAUUCCAAGGUUUUAGAGUAAAUUAACUUAGUUAUGUGUUGAUUCGGCAGAUAGGAAGAGCCAUCAAAGCAAAUUUUGACCAUUGUUUACACAGUUCAGGUAUGAUUUUCACUUGUUCAUGAUUGCAUAAGAGAGAAACAAGUUUUUUAAUUGGUCCCUUCCGUUAUACUUAAACCGCCAAAAAUUCAAAAGUCAUCUGCCUUUAAAAACUGUCAGGCCUUUCCCAUCAGUUCAGACCCCUUCAUCAUUACGGUUCUAUCCAAAUCCUUUUCUCACAUGAUUCAAUUUCCUCCAAAUCCUUCUUGAAUACGUAUCCUUUUUCCCUCUCUUUCUUAUUCCCUCUACACCUUCUUUACAUCAACACAAAAACUUUCUGACUCAUCAGCCAUGGAUUCUUCAUCAUCUUCUUCACCUGAAUCUUCCACAAACACUUUCACCUCUAUUGUCAUCCACCCAAACAUCACCUUACCUCCGUUAAUUCCUCCUUAAAUCACCCAAAAAUUCUCUGAUUUUGCUGCGUUCAAAAACUUCCCAAAUCCUUUUACACAUUUUUCUCCAAAUACCUUAUUCUAUCCAACCCGUCACUUUCUCCACCAAUUCCACUUCAAAUUGUUGAUCAAGAUGAUGAACCUAUUUCAAAUCUCAUCCCUCGAAGGUCCAGAUCCGUUCUGAAACGAAAACCCUCUUCUGUUGUCAUUAAUGUAGAUGAAUCUACUUCAUUUAAGCCUUCUCCUGUAGUUGUUUCUCUUCACAUUCCUCUUACUCGAGGAAAGAAACAAAAACAUGAUACUUCGUUGGAAAAAGCACUUCAUGCAAGUAAAAAGAAACGGGUUGCUCCUUCUUGUUCUCCACCUCUCAGUAAUCCCUCUCCUAAUAUUCUUCUUUAUUCUAAAAGAAAAUAGAAUCAUAUCAUUGCCAAAACCUCAAGGUCCUCUUUCGGAUCUAUCUCUCCAUCCCAACCCACUUCCAAAACUUCGUCGUUCUUAAAAUCUAUGAAGAAAGCUUCUCCUAAGAAAGCCUCCAUUGUUAAAGGUUCCCCUUCCACCAGAGGCUCUUCAAAAUCCUCUUCUCGUCUGAAGAAACAAGUAUCCCAACGUGUUCCUUCUGAUUCCUCGAAUUCAGAUUCUGAUUUUCUUCCUGAUAUCCCUCCUACUUCCUCUACUCAACCUUAUCUAAAUCUUGACUAUGAUGUUGCUUUUGAUACUCCUCCUGACAAGGCCUUCCUGUCAGCUCAAGUUCUCCACUUUCAAAAACGUAAGUUGGCUAGGGGUAGAGUUGUCAAUGGUUUUGGGGGUCCUGAUAUGGAUGUGUUUCUCACUAAACUGAAUGCUCAGGGGUAGUCACACCUGUUUCUUCAAGGUGAUUAUCAAAGAAUGUUUGGGAAAUCUAAAGUGUAUAAAUUUUACACUAAUAGAGUUGUUGUUGGGGAGAUGUUCUACACCACUGUUCAUGGUAAAACCAUAAAUCUUUACCUUGCUGAUCUGACUAGAAUUUUACGUGUUCCUACUGGGGGUUGGGGCCAUUAUGUGAAAGGUGUUUGGCCUUCUCUUGAUAACCUUCCUUCAGCUAUUGAUAUUUCUAGAAAAUUCUCUAGAAAUCCUUCCCUUUUAACUCAUAGAAGGGUUCUCAAGAAUGAGAUAUCUCCUCUCCACCAGUUCUAUUUUGAUGUGGUUCACAAAAUGAUCCUUCCUAGACAGGAAAAGAGAACUGUAGAAAAUUUUCUUGAUCUCACCCUGAUGGAAUUGCUAGACUCUCAGAUUCUGAUUGAUCUUUCUACAAUCAUCAUUAAUCACAUGCAAAGGGUUUUAAUUCAAGAUGCAAAUGACCAUGCUUUACCACAUGAGUUCUGGCUUGCCUCUGUUUUUGAUGACUUUCAUAUUCCUAUCAAAGUAUGGUCAUUGAAGACCACAAAGGAUGUCAUUGGGUUUGUGAACCAUGCUAUGUUGCCUGCUGCUAUGAGGAGUGCUGAUAAUCCUAUGCAAAGGCUGAGGAAUGCUCUUGUUCCCAAGCAAAGUGAGAUGUAUGUGGAACAAGGUGCAUUAGAAGUUGCUCAGGCUACUCAUGAGGAGGAGAAAUAGUUCCUUCAAGCUCAAAUUGCCUCCCUCACAGCCCUUUUGGAAAAGGAAAGAGCUGAAAAUGCAGAUAUCAUUAAGAAGCUGACCUCUCUUACUAAUUAUUCCUCAUCCACUUAAGUCCUCUUAGUAGACUUAGGCAUCUUUUAUUCCUACUUUUUGGUUAAGCUGGUUCUCUCUUAUUAUUUAUUAUGGGUUGUGAUCAUUGUAUUCUAAUCUAUCAAUAAAAUGGUCUUUUCUUGUUUUAUGUGGCUGACUUCUGUGUUAUUGAUACAUUGCUUGUUCUUUUUGCUCUAAAGUCUUCAUGUUUUAGUGAUAGCCCCAGUGGCCAUAAAUUAUAAGACUUGUUUCACUCAUUGGUCCAGUUUUUCGAUGAUGUCAGAAGGGGGAAGAACAGAUUAUACAGUGUUUAUAACUCAAUUGACUAAUCUGUGUUUCAUUCUGUUUUCUUUACUUAACUUCUUGGUGAGUAUGUUAGGUUUGUGGUAUUAUACUACUAUGUUUAUCAUCAUCAAAAAGAGGAAAAUUGUUAGAGCGUGUGGAGUUUGGAUGAUAGACAUGAGAAUGAAACAUGUGGUAAAAGUUGUUCCAUCCAACUGAACCAAGGUCAGCUACAGAUAAGUUAUUGAUAUGAUGACCUGGCGUACAAACAAAAGUGGAUAACAUUUAUCAUAUUAUAUGUUGAGUUGAAAAAGAAGACUUGCAGAAGUUGAGUUGAAAAAAAAGAAGUGCAGAAGUUGAGUUGAACAAGAAGUCUUGAAGAAAGAGAAAAGAGGAAUCCUAUUGAAAGAAGAAGAGAGGGGCCGCAACAAGUAGCAGGAAACUAUCUGGAGUCCUAUUGAAUAUAGAAGUUGAUAUAAAUUGAAGGACUCCAUAAGGUGGGUUCUUAAAUACAAGAAACGAAUUCAAAAGCACUCACUCAAGCACUGAAAAACUUAUCAACAAUCGGCAUAUCAGUUCGCAUACUUGAAGAAGAACCUGAUCUCUUACUUAGCAAGUUGUAGAAUUUGUGCAGUGAGUAGGUUCUUUGAGUUGUAAUGAGUCAAUGUUCUAGUCUCAGUGAUCUAUAAACUGAGUUAGGAAUUGUGUCUUCAAGUUUGGACACUCGAAGACUUGGGAACACUUAUCUUGGGAAGAUUUGUGUUUUUGUAUUGAUAAGAGUUAGAAGUUUUAAUUCCUAGUUAACAAGAAGUAUUGUAAUUCUAUUGAUUGUUGAGGCUCAAGAAUUAUAGUGAAGUUGGGUUAAAUCCUGUAGAGGUAUAGGUCGUGGUUUUUUACACCUUCUUGAGCCAUGUGUUUUUCACGUAAAAACACUGUGUUCAGUAUUUACUUCUGUGAACCACGUUUACUUUCUUGUUCCACAGAUAGGCAAUUAGUAGGGCUCGUACUUUAACACAUAGCAUUAUGAUUUCGAAUUUUACAAAAUAAAAUGUGUCAAAUAUAUCAUGUUAACAUAUUAUACAUAUAGGAGUAUUCAAAAUGAAGUACAAGCAACUUCUAGUUAAUCAAUAACACAAAAAAAGCGUUUCAAUCAACAUAGAAUAAUCAAAAUUUCAAUAUCUAAAAUAAUUAGUUUUGUAUUGGUACUUUUUAUAUAUAUUAUAAAAAUAUAUAUGAAUAGUAUAUCUAAUUAUAUGUUGUGGUACAGUAUUUGAUAUAUUUUUUUUAUAAACAUAUUUCUAAUAUUCAAAAAAAAAAUGUAUAUCAAAUACGAAAUCACGAUAUCUAAAAUUUUGAUUCAUAAUAAUUCGAUUUCUACAUAUCAUGUUCACCCCCACUUUGUGUGAAGUGAUUUGAAGUACAUUAUUAAAGUACUUAAUUUUCUUUUUGAAAUAGAAUAUAAAUACAUCAAGGUUCUUAGAUUUAAUUUAUAAAGUAGUUUCAACCUAUACAAGGGUUCAUUAGACCAAACGAACGUUGAUUUUAUUCACUUAGAUUCUUCAUCACUUAAUUAAUUACCAGAUCUAUGUCUUCUUAGUGUUGAAACUCAUUUAAUAAUAAACUUAACUCGUAUAUCACAAAUUAUGCUCUUACUAAUAGCAAAACUCUAAUAUAUAAAUCCCUCUUCUUCCUCAAAUGCAUUUCCAUAUCAAUUUUGCAAAUAUUUUUCUUUGAUUUUUUUCAUAUGUCAUUAUUUAGAUUUUUUUAUGUUAUACUCGAUCUUGACAAUAUCAAAGUUAAAAAAUUAUCUAUUCUAUCAGCACACAUAUAUAUAUUUUCAACGAUUUGCAUCAAGAAAAUAAAAGGAAAUAAAUAUAAAUCAAUCAAAUCAACAAAUCUAUAAAAUUCUUACCUUCAUGGAAAAAGGGAUUGAAGGAUAAUUGAACUGAUAAAAUAGGUGGAAGCGGACUUCUCUGUGCUAUUUUUUGUCAACGUCUUUUGAACUGAAUGAUAAAUAAACUAAUAUGAUGUUAAAUAGGAGGGUAAUUUAUCAAAAGACAAAAGAGUUUCAAAUUCUGAUGUGAUUAUAAGGAUAUCUAAGAGAGUUAACAUAUGUAUAGCUACGACUAAUCUGUUCAGCUAAAUUACCAAAAGACAAAAAGGUCCCUAAAUUUGAUGUAAUAAUAAGGAUAUUUAGGAGAAUCAUAGUGUGUACAGAUUACAACUGAAUUGCUCAGCUAAAUUAUCAAAACUAAUUUAUUUGAAGAUUUUUUUUCUUUUUAUCAAAAAUAUCUUUGUUAUUUUAUGCUUGAUUAGUAUGUGCAGCUACGACUGAUCUGUUCAGUUAAAUUAUCAGAAAACAAAAAGGUCCCUAAAUAUGUAAUAAUAAGGACAUUUAGGAGAAUCAUAGUGUGUACACAUUAUAACUCAAUUGUUCAACUAAAUUAUCAAAAUUAAUUUAUUUGGAGGUUCUUUUUCUUUUUAUCAAAAAUAUCUUUGUUAUUUUAUGCUUGAUCAAGAUUUUUCAAAAAUGCUUUUAAAAAUCAAAUAUGAAAAGAAAAUAUAUGCAUAAGAUUAUCAUGUAUUUAUCAGUUAGAAAGGUGGCUCACAAAAUAAUUAGACACUUAUUUUUGUUAAUAAAAUAAACUAAUGUUAAAUUUAAUAAGAUAUAAGCAUCAUUCAAAAGAUUGGUACUAUUUAAAUGAAUGAAUGAGCUUGUAUAAUAUGAAUAUUUGUAAUAAAAUUUUUACAUGAUAUUAGCUAAUAUUGUAUUUACUCUUUAUAACUAAUUUUUUUUGUAUUUUUGCUUGUACUAAUUUAAUCGUACGUGAUUCGCACGUGUAAUGUUUGAUCAUUUAAAAUUAAAUAAUUUUAUCUAUUUGAAAGAUUUUUAAUGAAGUAUAAAAGUUUAAAAUUAAACGAUAUUAUAAUAAUAUAUAUAAUCUGUAAAUCUAAUUAUAUGUUACUGUACAAUAUUUGAUAUUUUUUUUAUAAAAUUAAAAUAUAUAUCAAAUACGAAAUUAUGAUAAAAAAAAUUUGAUUCAAUAUGAAACUCGAUAUCUAUAUAUCAUGUUUGCCCCCACUUUUUUGUGAAGCGUUUUGAAGUACAGGAUUAAAGCACUUAAUUUUCUUUUUAAAAUAGAAUAUAAAUACAUCAAGUUUUUUCGAUUUAGUACAGUUCUCUAACAAUCAAAAUUGAAGUGUCCACUUAGCUUCUUCAUCAUUUAAUUAAUUACUAGAUCUAUGCCUACUACGAGUUGAAAUUCAUUUAAUAAACUUAACUCGUAUAUCACAAGUUGUGCUCUUACUAAAAGCGAAACUCUAAUCGAGAAAAAUGCAUACGCACUAAUAUAUAAAUCCCCUUUUCUUCCCUCAAAUGCAUCUUCAUAUCGAUUUUGCAAAUAUUCUUCUCCAAUUUUUUGUUAAAUCUUUUAUAUUAUAUUCGAUCUUAACAGUUACAGAGUAAACAAAAGAAAAUAAAUAAUUAUCUAUUCAAUUAGCAUCAUCAAGAAAAUAAAUAUAAACUAAUCAAAUCAAGAAAUUUAUGAAAUUCUUACCUUCAUGAAAAAGGGAUUUGAGGGAUAACUGAAGCGAUAAACCAAUAUGAUGUUAAAUAGUAAAGUAAUUUAUCAGAAGACAAAUGAGUUUCUAAAUCUGAUGUGAUUAUAAGGACAUCUAGGAGAGUUACAGUAUGUACAACUACAAUUGAUCUGUUCAGCUAAAUUAUUAAAAGACAAAAAGGUCCUUAAAUAUGUACAGCUACGAAUGAUCUGUUCAACUAAAUUAUCAUAAGACAAAAUGGUCCUUAAAUAUGUACAGCUACGACUGAUCUGUUCAGCUAAAUUAUCAGAAUACAAAAAGGUCCCUAAAUAUAUACAGUUACGAUUAAUCUGUUCAGCUAAAUUAUCAAAAGACAAAAAGGUCCCUAAAUAUGUACAACUACAACUGAUCUGUUCAACUAAAUUAUCAGGAGGAAAAAAGGUCCCUAAAUUUGAUGUAAUAAUAAGGACAUUUAGGAGAAUCAUAAUGUGUACACAUUAUAACUGAAUUGUUCAGCUAAAUUAUCAAAAUUAAUUUAUUUGGAAGUUCUUUUUCUUUUUACCAAAAAUAUCUUUGUUUUUUUAUGCUUGAUCAAUAUUUUUUAAAAGUGCUUUUAAAAUUCAAAUAUGAAAACAAAAUAUAUGCAUAAGAUUAUCAUGUAUUUAUCAGUUAGAAAGGUGUGUCACUAUUUGUUAGACACUUGUUUUUGUUAACUAGUUUAACCGCACGUGUCUUGCACGUGUAAUAUUUAACUAUUUAAAAUUAAAUAAUUUUAUCUAUUACGGAGAUUUUAAAUGAAGUGUAAAAUUUUAAAUCUCUUUUCAAAAAUUCUUCACACUUUAAUAUAAUAAUAUAAACAUAUAUAUAUAUAUAUAUAUAUAUAUACAUAUAUAUAUACACUAUUAGAACUUAAUAAAAACAUAGAAAAACAAAAACAAAAAGACAGUCAAAAUAAAAAUAUAUAAGAAUUAAUAGAACAACUAGAAAAGAUAGAAAUAACUCCCCAAAAAGAAAAAAAGCUAAAACAACUAAACCAAAAGUAUGAACCAUUUUUCAACAUCCACAAAUGGACAUAACAGACCAAGACCAAGCUUUACCCAAAACUUCCAUACUCCUGGUGGAGUAUAUACUUUCAUUAUCUGACAUAUAUUCAUCUACAUUUAUUAAAUUUUCAUUUACAUCUUUCAUUAAUUGUGCAUUCCUAGAUCUAUUAUUGUUUCUUUUUGGAUAAGUAUUUGCUAAGUGCUCUAUACUUCCGCAGGUAAAACAUUCUAAUUUAUUUUUGUAGGUUCUACUGGUGUUAUAUUUUCUUACAUGUUUAUCCUUAUCUAGGUAUGGCUUCCUUGCGCAGCUUGAAUUGUUAAAUCUAAGUAUUCUAGUUUCUUUAAAUUAUCUAUUGUUACACUACUACUCUUUAUCCUAACAGAGGUAUAUUGCUAAUAUACUGUUUUCUAAUAUCUUUUAUUCUAAUAUUUUGUAUUCUAUACAGUACCUAAUACUUUCUAAUGUACACUUUAACAAGUUUAUGUGAUCUACACAAUUUACCAAUUUUAUAAGGUCUGAGUUUAUAAUGGCUUCUGAUAAUUCUAUAGCUUCUAAUAUUUCUAUUUGAUUUAUUAAUCUUUGUUCUAUUUUUAAAAUUUCAUUUCUUUGUCUUAUUUCUUUAUAUAAUCAAUUAUAAGCUCUUUGUAUUAAUUUCGCAAAAGGAUGCGUUUUCAUAUACUUUACUUAUUUUUAUCCUAAAGAAAUAUUUACUACGUUACACUGCUUCCUAUAAUAGCUUAUCCUUUUAUUGUAAUAUUCUAUAUCACUUCUAAUUCCAUGUAAUUCCCAUCUUAUUAUGCUUAAAUAUUCUUUGAAUGAUUUUGAUUGUGAUAUUUCUAGAGUUAAUGAUAAUUUCAAAUAGUUACUUAAAACUAUCUCUAGUUCUACUUUCUCUGCCCUGAGCUUUAUUUUUUCGUUUAAAUACCAAUACCUUAGUUGUAUAUUGCUAGUAAAAGGAUGUCUUUUCAUUAAAUAUUGUUUCUAGACUUGAGUUGCUUUAUCAAUUCGUACUCUAGGCCGGAUAUUAUAGUGAUUAGAUUGUCUAGUCUUCUCGGAUCUUCUUUUGUACUAUUUGGUCUUUUAUAUUCUAAGUAUAAACUAUAUAAAUUAUUCUCGAUCUCUUCUAGCAAUUUUGUAUUUCCAUGAGGCAUUUUCAUUAAGCUAGAUAAAUAUCGUUUAUCAUCUUCCAACUUUCUUCGGUCUUCAAAUCGUGUCUAUAAUAUUUUAUUUGCACUUGUAAUUCAGGUAUUCUAGUAUCUAUUCCUUCUAUUUCUUAAUGGAUCUUAUUAGGUGUAAUUUUAACAACGGAGAACAUACAUUAAAUGGGGAUAACCCACAACUAAAUACUAUUACAGACUUUAUAAUAAACCUCAGAGAGAAAGUUCAACAGGAAAACACUAAAAUAUUGUAAACUCUAGAGAAAUUAGAAGAUCUGCAAAACAAACAAAAGAAAUUGUUAGAUAAAUAGAAUUAAAUUUCGAUUUCCUAAAAAAUCAACAAGCAGAAUUAGAUAAGAAAUUCAAAGAUUUAAUUAAUAAAUACAAGGGUAACCUAGAAAAUCCUAAAAUAAAGCUAGUACUACAAGAGGUACGAAAAGAAAUUAACCAAAUAAAAAAGAUAAUACUCUCAUAAGUGAUAUACUACAAGAUAAACUUUAUCUAACAAUAUUUCAAAAGGUGGCACAGAUUCAACCAAAUCCCUAAGGAUUAUCAGAUCAUCAACCUCAGGGAAAAGCAGACUCUUUAAUCAUAAAACAGAAUAAUAUUAUAAUUUUAUUACUAUUAGAACUUACUAAAAACACAGAAAAGGAAAAACAAAAAGACCGUAAAGAUAAAAAUAUAGAAGAAUUAAUAGAACAACUAAAAAGGAUAAAAAUAACUCCCCCCCCCCCCCCAAAAAAAAAAAAAAAAAAAAAAAAACAAAAAAACUAAACCAAAAGUAUAGACCUUUUUUCAACAUCCACAAAUGGACAAGACUGACCAAGACCAAGCUUUACACAAGAAAGAUUAACAACAAACAUGUUAUCAAAAUUCAUAAACAGACCAAAAAUGACUUCAAGAUAACAGCUGGAAGAGAUAGUAGACGUGGACAAAGAUAUACAUCUUUCCUAACCAAACAAAUUAAAAUUAUUAAGUGCUAAGACAUUAUACAAUGAAGGAAUGUUUUCAACGACACAAUUAUAUAAAUAUUAUAGAGAAGAACAAUUAUGUGUAAUAGGUAAUGAUAACGCUAGUAUAAAUUUAAUAAGUUCAAAAUCUUUAAGACAAAUUGCCAAGUCAAACAUGAGCCUCAUGCAUAUGAGACUCAUAGUAGUGGGCCAAAAGGGAUUAAUCAGAAAAAAUUUAGGAAUCAAAGUAUUAGUUACUAUCUAUGAUAAUAGAUGGUCAGACUCAAAAAGAUCUAUAAUUGAAAUAACAGAAUUAGACAUGUCAACAAAUGGAGGACUUUUUUACUGUAGUCCAGACUAUAUGAUAAAUUCUCUAGAAUUUGGAAAAUAUAUAAAGAUAGGUAUCCAGACUAAAAGAUAUGAAGAAAUGAAUAAUGAAAAUAAUUUACUAAUAUGUGUAGAAUUUAUAGGAAAAUUUGCCACUAAUAGAAGUAUAAAAUUUAAUCUAAAGAUAGAUGAUGUAAUAAGUUUAAUGAAAAAUAAAGGUAUUAAAUUAAUAAAACCCCUAAAAGUAAAUUCAGAAGAAUAUGCAGGAUUUGAAUGGAAUUUAGAAAAUUUCAGUAAGAAAGAAAUAUUAAAACCCAUAGAUCACUUAAUGUAUACUAAUAAGAAAGGAUAAACCUCAGUAAGAUUUAUCGAUUAUACAUAUACAAAUGAAAAAGAGACGGAUGAAGAGGCUGAAACAAGUGAGUAUAAUGAAUACAUGAAUAUGAAAAUAGUGGAAGAGGAUGGUUUUAAAGAAAAUAACGCUAUAAUGAAAGCGAAAACCCUAUAAGAAAUAAAUAACAAUAGCGUAUUAAAAUGCACAGUUUGUAAAUUAGGAAACUUAGACCUUGUGGAAAUGAAAGAACAUUUUAUAAAAGGUGAAUUAAGAACAAAUAAUUAUGGUUAUACACAUAAAAAGGAACGAAAAGGCGAAGACUUAGAAUUGAUUUAUAGUAUAGACGAAAGUAUAAAAGAAUUUAUGGAAAGUGUGGCAAGUACUGCGAGUCCUUUCCAGAGAACAAUCGGAAUUCAAAGAGUAAAUAUAACAACAGAAAAUUUACCAAGACAUAGGGUGUUUAGAAUAAAUCAAGACACUCAAGUUGAACAAAACAUAAAAUCUAGAGGAAAAAGAAAGUCAGUAGAAGAACCCAUUAGAUUACAAAAAGGUGGUAAUAAAGGAAAAAUUUUAAACUUACCAACUCAUGAUCCUCGGGUAUGGAAUAAUGUAAUAGACAUAUGGAAAAAUGUAGUUGUAGCAGACUACAUACAACAUACAAAGGGGAAUCAAGAACCAGAUCCAGAAAUUAUGUAUAGAUAUUUAGAAACAUUUCUAGGAGAAAGUACUAAAGCACUAUGGGAAGCAUAUGACAUUAUUCCCACAAGAUUUUCAGGAAUUAAUAGAACUAGGUGCAAAUUCAUACAAUUUUGUAAACAAAGUACAUACUCUGAUAACAGGCGAAGAUCCCAAUAGUGGAUUAGUAGUAUUACAGCAAAAAGCCCUAAUAAAUUUAGAGUCAAGGAUUAAAGAAUUUCUAAAUAACUCUUUUAUUAUUGUACAAUUAGUGAAAACUCGUUUGAUCAAAUUCUAGGAGCUACAUUAUUUAAUAAAUUACCAAGGGCUCUAGGAGGAGAGAUAGAAGAAAAAUGAUCCAAAAGAGAAGCAGUAAUACAAAACCCAAACAACCC
rnacentral:lncRNA from 1 species